UUUUUUUUUUUUGUUUCUUUUUCAGUUUUUUUCUUUUAUUUGUUCUUUUUUUUUACUUUUCUUUUUUUUUCCUACUUUGUUUUUUAAUUUUUUUAUUUUAUUUUUUGGUAUUUUAUUUAUUUCAAGUAAUUGUUAUUGUGAUAAAAAAAUAAUUAUCAACAUAAAGAAAUGUAAUGCUUUUAAAAGUAUUACCUUUAUUCAUAUCAAUUGUUAUUUUUUUUCGUACGACAAUAAUUAUUUGACCAAAUAACUAAAAUUACAAGUUUCAUGAGUAAAAAUAACAAUUAUCGUGAAAAAAAUAAUAAUUUUAAAAUAUUCUAUUUCUUUAUAUGAAUAAUUACUUUUAUUAAGACAAUAGUUACUUUUAAUAGCAUAAUAAGAUAUACAUUUUUAGACAAAUUAUACUUAUGUUUAUAUAAGUAUUUACCUUCAUUCAAUAUAAUGUAUUACUAUAUUUUUUACACCAUAGACCCUGAAAAUUAGACCUUAAACCCAAACCCUGAAUAGUUACUUUUUAUUAUGACAAUAAUUAUUGAUCAAAUAGUUUAAAUAAAAGUACUAACGAGUAAAAUAACAUUAUUUUAUUCAUAUCAAUAAUUACUUUUACUUACAAAAAUAAUUACUUGAGCAAAUAACUAAAAAUAAAAGUUCUUAUUAAUAAAAAUAAACAUUAUUGUGAAGAAAUGUAAUGUUUCAAAAACAUUACCUUCCUUUGUAAUAAUAAUUUAUUUUUUAUUACAACAAUAAAUACUUUGUAUUACAACAAUAACUACAAGUCUACAACAAAUGUAAUAAUUUUGAAACAUUACAUUUGUCCAUAUCAAUAAUUAUCUUUUCUUAUGAUAAUAUUUACUUGAUAAAAUAAAUAAAGUACAAUUUUUCAUUAAUAAAAGUAACAAUUAUUAUGAACAAAUAUAAUAAUUUACAAACAUUACAUUUCAUCAUAGCAAUAGUUACUUUUUCUCAAGACAAUGAUUACUUGAAUUAUUAUUUGAUUAUUUUUUUCUAUAUUCUAUUUAUUUAUUACGUUAUUCAAAGUAAUUGUUAUUAUAAUGAAAAAAGUAAUUAUUGACAUGAAAAAAUGUAAUGUUUUUAAACAUUACUUUUCAUCACAUCAAUAGUUAAUAUAAGUAUUUACGUUUAUUCAAUAUAAAGUAUUAUAUUUUCUAAAUUCUAAACCCUGAAAACUAUACCCUAAACGUUGAACACUAAACCUUAAACCAUGAACACUAAAUCCUGAACCCUAAUACGAAUAUUUACUUUUAAUAAGUAUAAGAUAUACAUUUGUUCGCAUAAAAGUAUACUUAUGUUAAUAUAAGUAUUUACCUUUAUUCAAUAUAAAAUAUUCUAUUUUCUAAACCCUAAACACUAAAUUCAGAAUACUAAAUCUUGAACCCUUAUAUUAAUAUAAGUAUUUACUUUUAGUUAUAUCAAUAAUUUUCUUUACACCAAUAAUUAUUUGACCAAAUAAUUAAAAAUAUAAAUUCUAAUGAAUAAAAGUAACAAUUAUCGUGAAGAAAUGUAAUAAUCUAGAAACGUUACAUUUUAGUGUAAUAAUUACUUUUGUUUACAACAAUAAUUACUUGACCAAAUAAUUAAGAAUAAAAUUUAUAGCGAGUGAAAAUAUGAUUACUUUUUUCUACAUCAAUAAUUACUUAUAUUCUUAAAAAUAAUUACUUAAGCAAAUAGCUAAAAGUAAAUAUUCUUAUGAAUAAAAAUAAACAUUAUUGUGAAGAAAUAUAAUAUUUCAAAAAUAUUACCUUUUAUCAUAUCAAUGGUUACUUUAUCUUACGAUAAAUGUUUACUUGAUGAAAAGAAUGAUUGAUGAAAAUUAUUGCUUUUUCAUCUGCCUAUUUAUGGAGCCCAGAAAUCCCUCCUUUUCAAAUAUCAAAUAUUGGGAGUUGUGAAAAGUGAAAAGUGAAAAGUAAGAGUAAUUGUAAGUGGUGGGGUAUGGUCCAAAAAAUAGGUAGAAAGUUUUUUUGUGAAUACUAAACCCUAAAUAGGGAAUAUUAAACCCUAAACACUGAAUACUAAACCCUAAAUAGGGAAUACUAAACCAUAAACACUUAAUACUAAACCCUAAUCAUUCAAUAAUCAACCCAAAUGACAAUAUUUACUUUUAUUUGAUCUAAGAUAUACAUUUCCAUGCAUAAAUGUAUACUUAUGUGAAUAUAAGUAUUAACCAUCAUUCAAUAUUUUUUAAACCUAAACACUGAAUACUAAACCCUAAACACUGAAUAUUAAACCCUAGCCAUUCAAUAAUAAACCCAAAUGGAAAUAUUUACUCGCUAAUGGAAAUACUCACUUUUAUUUAUCCUUGAAUGCUAAACCCUAAUGGAAAUAUUUACUGUUAUGUAGUCUAACAUAUACAUUUCUUUGUACAAAUGUAUACUUAUGUUUCUAUAAGUAUUUCCUUUCAUUCUAUAUUUUGUAAUUACCUGAACACUGAAUACUAAACCCUAAAUAGUGAAUACUAAACCCUAAACCUUGAAUACUAAACUGUAAAUAAUGAAUACUAAACUAUAACCCUUGAAUGCUAAACCCUAACGAAAAUAAUUACUUUUAUUUAGGCUAGUAUAUACAUUUCUUUGUACAAAUGUAUACUUAUGGUUCUAUAAGUAUUUCCUUUCAUUCUAUAUUUUGUAAUUACCUAAACACUGAAUACUAAACCCUAAAUAGUGAAUACUAAACCCUAAACCUUGAAUACUAAACCCUAAAUAAAUACAAAUUAUACAUUUAUUGGCACAAAUAUAUACUUACGUUAAUAUAAAUAUUUAUCUUCAUUUAAUAUAAAGCAUUAUAUUUUCAAAACUUUAAACCCUGAACACUAAACCAUAAACCCUGAACAUUAAACCUUAAACACUAAAUCCUAAACUCUAAUAAGCAUAUUUACUUUUUUAAUACGAAUAAGAUAUACAGUUGUGCUAACAAAUGUAUACUUAUGUUAAUAUAAAUAUCUACUUUUAUUCAAUAUAAAGUAUUAUAUUUGCUAAACUCGAAACCUGAACAUUAAAUCAUAACAUGAAUAUUUAUUUUUAAUGACCAUAAAAUAUACAUUUGUUCUCACAAAUAUAUACUUAUGUUAAUAUAAGUAUUUACCUUUAUUCAAUUUAAAGUAUUAUACAUAUCAAUAAUUACAUUUUCUUAUGACAAUGCUUAAUUACUUGACAAAACAAUUAAAAGUACAAGUUCUCGCGAAUAAAAAUAAUAUUAUUUUUCAAGAAAAUAAUUAUUUCACCAAAUAAAUAAAAUUAUUUAUUUCUUCAAACCAAAGUAAAUAUUGUUGUGAUAAAAAGUAAGUAAUCAACAUGAAGAAAAGUAAUGUUUUCGAAACAUUACAUUUUUUAUCUAAUAAUUUAGAAAAAUUACAUUUUUUCAUAUCAAUAGUUACUUUUCUUUACAACAAUGAUUACUUGAAUAAUUUAUUGAAUAUUUUUUCGCCAUUCGAUUAUUUAUUUCUACGUUAUUCAAAAUAACUAUUGUUAUUAUAAUGAAAAAAAAUAAAAUUAUUGACAUGAAUAAAUGUAACAGUCUUGAAAUGUUAUUUUUUAUCAUAAAUAUUUACUUUUUCUUACAACAAUAAUUACUUGACCGAAUAUACAAAAUUACAAAUUAUAACGAGUAAAAAUAACAUUACUUUUAUAUAUAUUAAUAAUUGCAUUUUCUUACAAUAAUAAUUAUUUUAUCAAAUAACUAAAAAUAUAAAUUCACAAAAAUAAAAGUAACAAUAAUAGUUAACAAAUGUAAUAAUUUAGAAACAUUACAUUUCAUUGUAAUAAUUAUUACUUUUUAUUACGACAAUAAUUACUUGACCGAAUAGCUAAGUUUAAAAAUUCUAGUCAAUGAAAAUAAAAUUACUUUUCUUCACAUCAAUAAUUACAUUUGUUUAUAAAAAUAAUUACUUGAUAAAAUAACUAAAAGUUAAUGUUCUUAUAAAUAAAAAUAAACAUUAUCCUAAACAAAUGUAAUAAUUCAAAAAUAUUAUAUUUGUUCGUAGCAAUAAUUACUUUUUAUUAGAAUAAUAAUUAUUUGAUUAAAUGAAUUGAAGAAUAAAUAAUAAAAUUGAAUAUAUGGUUAUAAAGAAAGAAGAAAAAAAGUGUUCAGUUUAGGAAUGAAUGAAAGAUCCAAAUUUUGCCCAAAAACAAACAAGGUGAGUUGAAGGAAGAUUGAUAGAUCGAUUAACUCAAUAAAGUCUCGAUUCACAAAUUAUUUACAAAGAAAUGGAUACAUUCAACAAGAAAAAAUGAUUCUCAAUAGUAGAAAACAGGCUUAAUUUUUUUUAUCAAAUCAAUUCAGAUACUGCGGGCACGAAAUUCCCAUCAAUUCACAAACAUUAAAAUUCACAAAAAUUAUUGAGCAAUAAUUAAACAAUUUAUUAAUUUAAGCAGUAGGUCCCAACAAUAAUUAAACAAUUCAUCAAUAAUCUAUAUAAUCUAUAUAAUAUAUAAAAGAGGAGUUUUUUCCCUCCAUAUUUUCCUUCUCUUUUUCUCUCUCUUCUUCCACCAAAAUUUUACUAUUUUUCUUUUUAGUUUUUAUAAUUUAAUUAUUUUUCUAAACAUCAUCAAAUUUGAUUCAUGAAAAAAAAAUCAAUAAGUAUCUUAAAUUUAAUAUAGUAUAAAAAUUAUCAAAAAUGAAUUUAAAAUGAAUAAGUUAUGAAAAAUUUAAAAUAAUUUAUUUUCUAUCUCCUCAUUAAAAAUUUACAACUUUUUAUUUAUGUUUAUAUGUGAAAAAUAUUUAUUAUGAUUAAUAAUACUAUAUAAUAAUAUGCAUAAUGCAAAUUUUCAUUAUCGAAUCAUUUUUAAAUUUAUUUAAUAACUAUAAUAUCAUUACACUUUGUAUAAAUUGAAAAUUUAUAUUUUUAAAUUCAUAAUUUUAUUGAGUAAUUGAUGUGAAUUAUUAUAAUUUAUUUUAAACAUAUUUUGUAUUUUUUAUUUUAUUUAUUUAUUUAUUUAUUAUUUAAAUUUAUCAUUUAAUUUCGAUGUCUGUCGUGCGAUUAAACAUUCAGAUGCAGUAGGCACGAUCAAUUCGACCGCAAAAUCUCUCCAAAUUUCACAAUCUCUCAUUUCCAAAACUGAACCCGCAUAUCACACAAACACACAAACAGAGAGAGACCGGCGUUGGGAGGAACCACCAUCAGUGGCGGCGGCGGCGAGGCGGAGCACUGGACAAAGAUCUUGGUUGGGUGGGCUGGGCAUCGCGACGCCACGUCGAUGGCGACCUCCUGCCAGUUUUUGUGCGCUUGCCGCGCCGGCGGUCGGGGGAGAAGAAGGAGAUCCGAUGGGAAGAGUGUUGAGAAUAAGACACCAAAGUCCGUAAAAGCAGCAGGAAAACAAGGAUCCCUUAAAGCAGCAGGAAAACAAGGAUCCCUUAAUCAAGGGAUCCUUGUAUGACUUUGUAUCAGCAAUAUUAAAUAUCAUCUCCCAUCAAACACUAUAAAUGGGAGAAGUGUAUCAGUAGGAAAAAAUACAACAAGCAAUACAACAACAAUUAUCAAUCUUCUCUUUUCUCUGCAUUAUGAUAAAUACAUGUGUUAACAUGGUAUCAGAGCAGAUUUCGAUCUUAGGAACUCAGAAAUAUAUCAUCAUUGUUCCAACCCUUUCUCUAACCUUUUUUUCACCAAAACAGUAGCCAUAUCCUAUCUUUUUUUUCCCUUUCCUGAAACAGAAAAAAAUCAAACAAAAUGUCAGGUGAAACCCAAAUUACAGAAACCAAAAAUCCUUCAGAAGAGUUAACUCUUCAAAUUGCAAAUCUAGUUCGGAAUUCAGACAACGUCAUUCUGGGAUUCAAACUAGAUGGGAACAAUUAUCCCUUAUGGUCACGCCUUAUGAAAGUAGCCAUCGGGAGCAAGGGAAAAUCCAGCCAUAUCACUUGGCAACCACCACCACCAAACGAAUCCGAUUCUGACUACUACAGGUGGGAAGAAUCAGAUUUGUCAGUUUUCUCAUGGCUUAUACAAAACAUGGAAGGAAAAUUGGUUACCAAUUUCGCACAACACCAAACAGCGAAGGCUGUAUGGGACAGCCUAGCGGUAACUUACGGGAGUGGAGCCGAUCCGUUUCAGCUCUACGACUUAGAAGUAAAAGCCAACAAAGUAAACCAGGGACAACUUACUUUGGAGGAUUACUGGAAUGAGCUUCAAAGAAUUUGGCUCACCAUCGAUCGGAGGGAACCGAAUCCUCUCGGCUGCUGCGAGAAAGGAAUCAACAAAUAUAGGGAACUAAUCGCCAAUCGCCGAUUGUACCAGUUCCUCUCCGGAUUGGAUACCAAAUAUGAUGCAAUUAGAAGAGAUAUCCUCAAAGAAUCCCCUGUUCCCUCAGCCGAGUCGGCGUUUUCAAGGGUACGAAGGGAAGCCGCCCGGCUAUAUAUUCUACAACCGGCAACUAACUCCAUCGACACCGGUAACUCUUCAUCAUCGGGAAUUGGAACCGGCCUGGCUGCCUCUCGACUCCCUGCACCAAGCUCGAACCACCAGCCACCAGAGGACCGCCGAACCACUCCGGCAACCCGUCUUAUCGGAAAAAGAUUGACAAAACACGACUUUUUUGCACCCAUUGUGGUAUGAACAAACAUACCAAAGAAAUGUGCUUCAAACUUGUGGGCUAUCCCGAGUGGUGGGAGGACAACCACAAAGCUCCUCAAGCCAAAGGAAAGGCGGCAGUCGGCGUGGAGGUGGCGGCCGGAAUUGGGGCAGUGGCGGUGAGCGGCGUCAAGGGAGAAGAGAAGGGGAGAACCGAGAAAUGGGAGGGAGCCGGAACCACGGUUCCUCCGAUGAACGGCGAAGAGAAGGGGAGAAUGGAGAAAUGGGAGGGAGCGGCGGAAAUUUGGGGAGAAGGUAUAGGGUUUGGUGGAAUAUUUCCACUAAAUCCCUCUAACUUUGAUAAUCCUAUUUUAAAUCCCUCAAGUUCUAGUUUAUUACAGAAAGAACCCCAUUCCAUUCAAAACUCCCCACCAAUUUUCGAAAAUUCGAAAAACUCCCCACAAUUUUCUGAAAAUUGUGAAAAUGACCCUAAACACUUUAGAAAUUAUUCUAUUGCGUGUCAAACAUUGAAAAAUAAAAUUGAAAGAGAUAGAGGGUGGAUAUUUGAUUGUGGGCCACGGAUACAAUGACUUUUGACAAAACUGACUUUCUCGAGUCAUCUAAGUCAUCUNUCCAUCUAGCAUGUAGAGAUUUCUGUGUAUCUUAGCCAGAGCCAAUAUAUGAUCUGAAUUUUGCCGCUGAAUAACACAAUGUGUCUUCAAGAAAAGACACCUAACAUCAUCCUUUUUGUCAACUGUGCUACUGAGAUUAGAUUAUGUGUAAAGCUCGGUGCAUACAACACUUGUGUGAGGAUUAACUCGCUAGAUACUUGAGCCUCACCCAUAUGUGUAACUGUUUCACACUUCCAUCUAGAAGAUGAAUCUCCUGACACUUUUCCAAUCGAUGCAUAGCACUGAGCAGCUUAGAAUUACAGCAAAUAUGUGCACUAGCUCCUGAAUCAAGGAUCCAUGUAUUGUGUGAGUUUCCAGAGAGCACACUAAAAGCAUAGUGUCCCUCAAACUCUAAACCUCCUUGCACCAUAUUAACAUCACUUUUCUGUGUAGGAGUGCUGCUUGUUUGGUUCACCAUGCUCCCACGCAUUUGCUAAUUUCAGAUUGGAUCAACUUUACAAGUGAUCCAUCAUUAUCAUUAACCGACCUUCCAUGAGGCCCUGUUUCUCCUUCUGAUUUCACUUCAGCAUAGUUAGCCUUAGAUUUCCCUUUUCCUUCCUUCAAUCGUUUGUACCAAUCUGGAAAUCCAUGCAGUUUGAAACACUCACUCUCUUCAUGCCCAUGGCGUUCACAGUGUGCACAGUAAAGUUUCUGCCUCUCCUCUUUACUCAUUCUCCCUUAUACAAUUGUUGUUGUUUACCAACCUAGAGUAUCUCUUCCUUUCCCAACUCCUUGCUUUCCCACAGUCAUAGCCUGCAUCGCAUGAGCUUCUCCAAAACUUUCCACAGUUAUCUUCUGAUCCUCUAUCUGAAGUACCAUAGAAUAUGCUCUGUUUACAGUAGGUAGAGGAUCGAGAAAUAAUAUCUGACUCCGUGCGCUUUCAAAUGCAUCAUUCAACCCCAGUAAAAACUGCAUCAAACGCUGAUUCUCUUCUCUAUUGAUGCCUGCCUCACGUGUGCCACAAACACAAGACAACGGUGGUAGCAACAUAUCCAAUUCAUCCCAUAAAGCAGUAAGGUUAUUAAAAUAGACAAGGACACUCUGAUUACCUUGCAUAUAACCACUGAUUUCUCUUUGCAGCCUAUAGAUCUUAGGGCCAUUACUUCUACCAAAUCGUUGGCUUAUAGCAUCCCACAAUUUCUUCGAAUUUUCAAUAUGAACAAAGGCAUUUACCAACUCUUUAGAAAUCGAAUUUAUUAUCCAUGAAGAGACCAUAUAGUCAGCUUUAACCCACGCCUUAUAGUAUGAAGAGCUAAAAUCUGGUUCAGGUAAGGUACCAUCGAGAAUUUCCAGUUUACUCUUAGCUCCUAAAGCACGCUUGACAGAUCUACUCCAGUUAAGAAAAUUAUUACUUGUCAAUUGUGCUGCAACCAACUGCAUUCCUGGAUGAUCGGCGUUGUGGAGUUGCAAAAUCUCCUCGAUUUGCUUUGGAUCUAGAAUUUGUGGAUUGAUUCGCUCCAUACGCCGACUGCCUUCAGAUUUGUUGUGCAAUGCAUCCUUGCGAGCUAUCUCUUCAGCGUCACCAGCCUCUUCUUCAGCCAAAAUGUUCCACGGAGUAUGUCGUAUUUUGCCCAUGGAUCAGAGAUCUAGUAUGCUCUGGAUACCAUGUUGAAUGUGUGAUUCGUGAGGAAGAAGAAAACAAUUAAGCUGAGUAGAGAGUAGUAUUAUUUCAGCAGAGAAAAAGUUGCGUACAUAAAGUUGUUCACUCAGCUAUUUAUAGACAUAGCAUGAGGCAAAAACAAAGCAACCAAUCAGAAAAUAACAAGUGGCAAAAAGAGAUACAAAAGAUGCUUAUUAGAGUACAUGCAACAGCAUGUGUGCACCGAGCCACAGCAGAUAAAACUAACUCCUGCCUUUACAAUUGCACAACUUAUCAUUCGUUAGGCUUGUAAAUGGGCACAAUUUUUAGUGAAGAUUGUAAUUGCGAUAUGGAGGUGAAGGUUGGGGGGGAAAUUGCUACUUUUCCUUAAUCAAAUUUGUAAAUACUACUCCCUCCGUCCGUCAAAAUUAUGUCACAAUUACUAUAUUGGGCGUCCGCCAUAGCGGAUGAAGGGAAUAUAAUAGAUGGAUACAACUCGUCUAAAAAUAUCAUAAAAUAACAUCUAAAGCUCACAAGUAGCUAUACUUAUAUUUGUAUAUUACUAGUGGUACUACUUAUACACGCUAGCUAUUACGAAUCGACUGAAUUGUCGAAUACCUCUUGCGCAUCAUCUAAUGGGAAGCAGAAGGAUAAAUAAUUUUUUUGAUAGAAGAAAAUAUUUCAAGUUUAAUAGAACUUUUCAAAUCUUUCAGUAAUUAUUUAUACAUUGAUCUUCAAUUUUGGUAAAUUUUCAACGGCAAAUGGAAAUUGACCAACAUUCCGGCAACUUUCAUCCUAUGUGGCUUACCGCAAACCAGAAACCACGCACGACCUUAGAUCACCAAUUUUGGCUUCCAAUAAUAAGGUCAAGUUUCUAAAAGAAAGCUCAACAUUUCAAGUGUUUUUUUUUGAGGCAACAUUUCAAGUGUUUAGUUCAUAAUAACAUUAUAUUCUUCUAAAUUAUCUACAAAUCAUUCUAUUUUCCCAGUCGAUAUAUUAGUCGGAAAUAGUUAGAAAUAAAAAAAAUAUCAAACAUAUGUUAUCAAUUCCGUUGUCGUCCAGCGGUUAGGAUAUCUGGCUUUCACCCAGGAGACCCGGGUUCGAUUCCCGGCAACGGAAAUUUUUUUAUGCCUUCGCUUUUAAUAAUUUAUACAUUGUUUCUCUUAAAUCAUUUUUUCAAACUUGAUGAAAAAGCGAAGCACGAUUAAUUAAAUAGAAAACGAAAUCGAGCUGAAGAACGUGAAAUCUACAUGGACGGAAAGUAGUGAGGUCGGCUCUCCAGUAUCAAAAAUGGCGGAAUUAUCACUUUAUUAUGAUCUCUAUCUCCUUUUCCCUAUUUUCUCCCUUAACCUCAACUCUUCUUGUAACUCACAUACAAAGAAGAUAAGAUAAAACAACUAUAUAUCUGAAGAUCUAAUAACCACUCAUUCUAACGGAAAAACUUGAGCAACGUGAAAAUAACCAUGUAAUCAACUCUUUCUAUUCGCCUGGUCCAUGAAGUUUCUACAAAUAACGCAUAUUUAUGCAGAUACCCUCAACAAAACCAAUUCUUAGGAUUUCAGAGUUCAGUAUUUCCAUAAAUUACUGUUCAAUUUUCACAACAAGACAAGUCUAGUUGAUGAAUACGGAACUUUUAAGCUUGGAACUAAUCGCGUCUUCUCCUAAAACCAGUAGUCCUAGAAUUUAGUCUUCUUGAGUUAGUUUCAUUUCAGCUUUGUUGUUUGAUGAUAAUUCAAGUGGUUUUCCACAUGUCUCUAGGUUUUUCUUUUUUUUAUGUUUUCACAUUUACUCUACAAACUGAAGCUUAAUAAAACUUGGUCAAACAAAUUUGCCAACGCACGUGACACCAAGUAGAAAAGAAUGGAAGUAGAAGAAACAAAGUUUGCCAAAACUAAUACCAAUAGAAUAUUAGCACCACAAAAUCUAAAAAAUAAACAAGAGAACAGUACGACACGCAUUUUUCCAAUUUGAAAAAGUUGCGACAAUUUGGCCAUAACAUAUUGAACUAGGAGAUAAACAGUAAAUGCCACAAACAAACUAAUCUUUCUAUGUGAUUCAAACCAACCGUUAACCUAUUGGUUGAUACAAAAAUAUCUUACGAAUUGAGCCACCCUCUCAACCAACUGAUUGGAGGAAAAAUAUCUUACAUUUGAGUUGAACUUCUUCACUCCCUCAACCAAGUGGUUGGAGGAAAAUAUCUUACAAUUGAGUUGAACUUCGCCAUCCCAAAGUGCAAGUUAUAACUUACUAGGCGAGGACGAUAAAGUAAGACACCGAUAUGCUUAAGGAAGACCAUUAAAUAUGGACAAAUCCUCAUUCGGCAAAUUGGCUCAAAGGGAGGGAAACGGAAAAGGUUCCCAAAAAUAAGAAUAUCUUAUAUUGACUUGUGACACCAAUUGCAAUCCAAUGUUCCAAUGGAAUAUUGUAUGAAAUUAGCAAAUAGGUUGCCAGGAAAGCCAAAUUCUCAAGACAGGAUAGCAAGAAAGUAAAUGUAGUACACAAUUUGCCUCCCUCUUAUAAACUAUAAUCGCACUCGCACAACAAAAUCUCUAUCAAAAAUAAUAUCCUUGACCAAGAAUUACAAAAUAAAGGAUGACACGGGACUAUGACUAUCCACUAGCAACUAUUUCAUGAAUGGCUUCACUCACAUUCACAUCGUCCGAUCUCACAGCUAAUUUCAUUGCCACCUCUUUAGUCCCAUCCAUUCCAAACGACAAACGGACAAGCACCUUCACAUUGCCUAUGUACACACCAGAUAAUAAACAUGUAUGCGAUCUUGAGUUGCUUGGGACCGCCUCGGUGCCCUGCACAAACAAAAUAAAUAACAUAAUUGGCAACUAUAAAGAUGUGGCAAAAACCAGCUCAAUUUGUUCAUAUUUAAGAACUUGUGCCCUUUGACAGGCAUAAUCCAAGGUUCAAUGGCUAAUUAUCUGAAGGAAAUAUAAGGCUGUAAGGAACGCACCUCACACGGCUGCAUGCCAAGAAGACUGAUGACUGCAUUAACAGCCUCGACAAGGCUUUCCCUGGGCCCAAGGCCAUAUUCAUCUAUGCGCUCCGUAUCAGGGUCCAUGCUUUCCCAUGCAUUUCUAAAGUUAGAGACGCCCACUUUUAGAAUGUAAUCAGCAGCAACAACCUCGAAAUCUUCAAGCUGGUAUUCAUCUUCCACACCAUCAUCUUCAGCCUCUCCAGUAGAGGUAUCAACCUAAACAAGUUUAUGGAGGCAAUAAUCACAUAAACAACAAGUGUACCACGGCUUUUGGAUCCAAGAAAAAAAUAUUCAUAUGAAUGACAAAAUAUAGAUUUUGCUGAGUCUAAGUUACAUGAUCGUGCAUGUGGCAUCUUCAAAGGCAGCCAAACCAAUGAAGGAAGAUAUACCUCUUUAACAGUGAACCUCAAUGUGUUAGAAAAUUUCCCAACCGCAGGAAUGCCUUCAGGUUUCUCAAAGGCCACAAAUGUUUGGGCUGGUGUAUCAUAAGGAAGAGAUUUUAAAGGUUUGACUCCUACUUCAGAGAAUUCCUCAGCUUCAGAAGCAUCCACAAUAACAGUCACCUAGCCGCAGGAGCAGAACGAUUUAAGUAAUGGAAACACAAUGAACGUCAAUGGGACAAAAAACUUGCAACAAUAUGGUCUGUACAUUUUCAAGUAGCUGCUCUGGUAUUGUAUUUGUGCAAUUGUACUGAAAUACCACAUGGUGGUCAAAUAUGUGCUUGACAACAUUAACUGCAUACUCCGUUUCUGCUUCUGUAAGCUCCACUGGCACUGAUGACUGAUCACGAACAUCGAACAUGAAAACUCAUUGGAUACUAUACACAACGAAAGUUAUUGGUAUGAAUCAGUUCAGAUAGUUAUCCACCAACCUUGAAAAGCUUUCCAAAAUUUGCAAAUUCAGGAAUAGAGGAGAGAAGCCUUUCAUAAGCAUCAGAUGCAGAAGUGGGUGCAGGAGGUGGAGCACCCAAAGCAGUUGGUUUCUUUCCUGGGGCUUUCUUCUCGACAAGAGGCUGAGACUUUACCUCUCUGGGUACAGAAUUGAUAUCAAAAGGCUCUUCUGUAGGAUUCUGUGCCUGUUCCAAAACAAAAGAAGUGCAAUGUCUAAUAUAACACAAGCCUCAAGUAAUUAUUGCAAAUCUAGCUUGACAUUAAGUGCAAUGUCUAAUAUAACACAAGCCUCAAGUAAGCACUGAUAUGUAUAAUACAUUAAUGCUUACAUAGUUUCUUAAAGUAGUCUCCAUAUUUGCUAGUGGUAUAUCAAGUGAUCCAAACAAAAAUUCCUUUACAUCUUUGUCAGUUUCAGCAACUGAACCAUCACCAAGACUGUUCAAAUACAGAGUAGCUCUAUCUCGGACCUGCACAUAGAAUGGCAUAUCUUAAUCACAAAGAGAAGCCAUAAUAUACUCAAUAUACAUCCAAACAAUAAGCACUUGCAGCAUCUGAGCAUGAUAUGGAAGGAUAAUCACUAGGUUCGGCUUUCAAUUAUAAGUUUCAAUCAUUUCCCAGCAGACUAGGGGCAAAAUAGAUCUUACAAUCCUCACAUAACAUGAAAGAUUAGUCAUUCCAAUUCCCAACUCCCAAGCAAACAAAAUGAAGUAUCAUAACACCAGAUUUCAAAAGAAUUUCCAACUUUACAUUCAUAAACAGGAAUAGUGGAACAAGUAUUUGUGAGACACGUCUCAUCUCCUUGGUAAGCAACUAAGCAUCAAAUUCAGACUUUCAGCAUGGGUGAUCUACUUGAAGGUUUCAAUGUAAUCACUAUUCUGCCUUGUGUAUUGUCCAUAAGUGGCAGGGCUUUCAACAUUACAAGACCAGAAAUCCUCAAUCACAUCAUUUCUAUAGGUGUUUAAACUUUAUUUAUGCUGUGUGGUAAUGAGAAAACUAAUUGAAAACUAAAUUAAAAUCAUCAUAAGUUAGUGCAAAAUUCACUGGAGCAUAACACUGACCUCAUCAUCAUUGUCGAACAGGCAACGCCUCAAUAGGAUAAAUAUGCGAGGCUGCAGCAAAGAUCAUAAUAUUUUUAAGUUAGGAAAUGGUCAUUGUUAAACAUAAUUUUAACAGAGCAGGUGUAGCAUUACCUUCAGGGAAUCAACCAGGGCACCAAAUUUUGCAAGUGUGCUGACGCACUGGCUCGCACAGUAGCAUUCUCAAGUAUUACUCGAUUGUAAAUAUAGCGGAUAUAUUUGCUAGGAUCUGAUGUCUUGGGUCCCUCAUUUCCAAGAAAGUGGAGUAUCUGGAAAACAAAACAAAGCAACAAAACUAAGCCCAAAACAAAAGCCAAAUGUGCUAGCAACAACGGCAGUGCUCUAGAAAGAAGGAAUUCUAGAUAGAUAGAAAGCAACCUGGGUAGAAAGAUAUGUAAAUUCACAAUCUUCAAUAAAUUCACACAAGUGCAGCAGUCCACUUUCUUUCGCAUCUGGAAUAUCUCUAAUUAAGAUCACAAUUGAAUCAACAAUUGCCUUCUUGUACUCAAACCCACCCUCUUCUCUCAAUAUAUUGCUUAAGAAAUUCAUCCUACAAGAAGCCACAUUAUUAGACAUUAAUAUUUAGAUAUGAAGAAUACAGCACCAUCAAAUUAUUCGAAUACAAAAGGCACUUGAUGUUUAGUUUUAGGCACACUCCACUUACAGGGAUCUGUACUUGAGUGGAAACUUCAAACACAGUGACCUUAUAGCUUCUACCACAACAAUCUUGAAUUCAUCGGCAAUAUCAGACAUGAAAUUUGUGAUCUGUUUCAUCAAGCGAUCAACACUAGAUUCAUUGCCAGUUUUCAGCAGUGUGGUAAUGGCAAGAGUAGCUAUGCUUCUAUUCUGGUCUGAAAUCAAGCUUUCCAUGUCUAUAUUACAGUUCGUGACAGCCAUUGGAUGUGUCAUGGCCACCUGCAUGCAAUUUAAGUUUGAAAUUCAUGAAAUAGUAAGUGCUAGCUUUAUAUAUAUCACUAUAAAAAGGGGGUGCUCAACGGAAUCAUAGAAAAAAGGACCAUGGAAUUUAAAUAUUAUCAUCCUACAAGCAAUAAGUACUGCUCUAACACUCAAGAUAAGAUACAAGAGCAGAAUCAUCUUGGGUGUGGACUCCACAUGAAGCAUCUCCUUUCACAAAAAGAAUGCAAUAUUGUCAUGCUAAACAUGAAUAUUACACAUCACGAGGCAAAAAAUGAAGACAUAAUUGACCAUUUAAAACUGUGGUCUUGCAAAUGGCACCAGUAUAGCUAACAAGGAUAAGGGUGGAGAACCUGUUGAGUCAAGCUUCAAGUAGUUUCAGCUGAGCUUUAUAAAAUAUAAAUACAAAGAAAUUUCCAUGCUAGGACUAUUCAGUCUGCAACACAAAUGUGUGGAAACUUUUGUGAAACCCAAACCAUUCUCUGCUCGAGCAGGUUUCAUAAAUAGCAUUCCAUUUGGAAAUAAGAGACCAUCAUGCUGAAGAACGUGAGCACACUAAUACAUGAAAUAAGAGAGAAAUAAUUAAACACAAUUCAGAUGAAUCUCCUACUAUAGGACCAGUACCAUUUGAUUCCUCAACAAUGUUACAUUAGGCUACCAAUGCUGAAUGAAAUUAAUGAUGUGAAGUCAGCAAAAUAUCUUUUCUUAUGUAAGACCAACUGAGAGAGUGAUGCCUUGAUCACAUAAAUGAUGUCACUAUUAUGGUCAAUGGUUUAGUUGUCCAUGUCCAAAUAACAUUAAAAAGCACCAACCUUAUUUAAUGUCCGAACAGCAGCAAACCUUAGCACAGGCUUCGAAGAACUUAAGAAAAGUUGUAAAACAGUUAUGGCGGGAGUCAAUUCCCUGGUUGUGACAUUGCUCAACUCAGUGAUUGCUUUGGCUGCUUCAAAGAUAACCAUUUCAGCUUUAUGACGGAGACAGCUCUCAAGAUAGUCAUAAAAUGGGCGGUCUCCAGUCUGAGAAUUAAACCAGUCUCUCGGAUAACCUAUGAGCUCAAUGAACAACUGCACAAUCAAUACUUGAACAAAAUUAAAACAAAAAGUGUUUCUUUGCAACUCUACGUUGGUAAGAAUAACACCUGACUAGUGUAGCGAAUCAAGAGGCACUGAGCCAAAGGAGAGCGAACAGUUCCCUUUGUCAAGCUUGUAACCAACUUGCUAACAGCCAACCGAUCAUUUUGUCGUAUCUGCAAGUUCAGAAAUAUGAUGUGUGAUCAAAUAAAAGAGGCCAAGCCCUUUUCAGGUGAAGCAAUACACACAAAACAUCAAAGUAAGCCAAGUUGUACUUGUACACAGUCAACGAAACUUCAAACUCCAUAUUUUCCAAACAGGAUAAUUGCAGAAACAUUAAGCAAGUCAAUUGCCAUUUUUUGAAAGUACAAUCUUAAAGAGGCUUAAGGAACAUAAAUAAUAAUUUGGCUUAUACAGAGCAAGAAGUAUAUGAGUUUAAUAAUGCAACCAAGAGGAGCAUGGUUUAUUCCAUCUGAUGAAAAUGUAUCUGCUUGCCAAGACUUCUUUUGGAAGAUCUGUUUUUAGAUAGAAGAUACAUCCAAGUUGUGUUCAGAGAGUAAGUUAGGCCACCUAUAAAAUGAUCAGAACUGAAGGAUUCAACACACAACUUAUUUGACAUCAGGUACCUAGAAGAAGACCCUUUUAGAAACUAAUACUAGUUCUUAAUUGAACUCUCCAUGACUAGAAAUCUAACUUGCAGAGUUCGGGGUAAUAUUCAUGCAUUUUUCACAAAUUAAGAUAAGAUAGAUCCAGGUUAGCAGUGAAGGAAAGUUCGUAAAUCCCAAUGAACAUUAAACUUCUUACCUGGUGCAGCAGAGCAAGGGCAUGAAAUUGUACAAGUGCAGCGCGCGAUUGAACAGCUUCUUGUACUUCAUUACUCCAUCUCUUGACUAUCUCCGGAGUUGUCUGUGACUAUAUUCAUAAGUACACUAACCACGGAAAGUAAGUAACUGGUGCAAUUCUCACAGAUCCAAUUAUUACCUGCAGCAGAUGAAUACCACUCACAAGGGCGGCACUUGCAACAACUGGAUUUUUAUCCACAAUAGCCUGCUUUAAGUAUCUCUCGAUUUGUGUCAAAAGUGUUCCAUCAGUGAUUCGACAAAGGACGCGGAUUGCAUUUGCUCGGUACAUAUCAGUGCGACUAUUCAUGUCUUUCAUUAAGGAGCUUGUUACAAUAAUAACCUUUAAUGCCGGAAAACAAAUAGUUUAGACUGGUAACUUCAAAAGCAUAGAACUAUUUAUGGAAGCGAAUGUAACAUCAGUAUGAAACACAUCUUCAAGGUACCUCAUCAGCAGAGGGAGAAAGAUCCUUUAUGAUUAGAUAUACCAUCCUUCUCAAACCAUUAUCUCUAGACUGAAACAGUUUUGUGACAGCAAAAAAUACUUCUGUGGCCUCGACCUAGAAAUUAUAGAAAAGAAACUGAAGAACAGUUUAAUAUAAUUAAAAAAAAAUAAUCACUUCAAAUCAAUGUUACUGAAGUGCCAAACUGCUUGAAACCUACAUUUAUCCUCUAAUAUGAUCUGAUUACUAUGUACAGUUAAGUUAAAUGUGUGUCAGGAGGACAGAGGUCUAUGUAUGUACAGUGUGUGCAUGCAUGAGAGAGAGAUCAAGAGUCUGUAACAGCUGCAGAGCUCGACCUUUGUGAAUGAGUCGCCCUGAUUAAGAAGAUACAAAAGCUUCGUGAUGACCUAGCAAGGAGAAAAUCAAAAAUCCAGAUUAGAAAAAUAGAAUAGAAUCAAAGAAAAGAAAAAUUAUUGAAUUCAAAUUGCAAGAACUGAUUACCUGUGAGCAUCGCCUAGCAUCUAACUGAGGGUCAUUGAAAACCCUAGCUUCCUGUAAUACCGCACCCUUCUCAAUCCCCAGAAAUGGCGAGUAAUCAGCUGCAAUAAGCAUUAUUGUAUUAGUUACUUCAGACCCAAAAGAAUGAUAUAUCUAUCUCAUGAAUGCACCACAAGAAUCACGCCACGGACUAUCCAUGCAGAUGCUGAUGAAUGACUCGGGGGAUGCUCGGUAUGAGGGUUUUGGAAUGAAACCCAAGGUAGUUAAUUCAUGCAGGGGAUCCAUGCCCCUAGAGGCCUACACCCACUUCCAUUUCCAAAAUAUAGGAAACAAGAUCCAUUCCCUACAACUAUCAAACCCAUAGGCAUACCUAUUCACAUUCCCUAUAAUACCAUGUAUCCCCUCGGUGUACUUGAACCUUGAAUGGACCCACUCAUCCCAAGCUAACAAAGAGGCCUAUCAAUCACUAUCCAAUACACUAAAAUAUUGCAAAUUAAAAAAUUUCUUUUCACGCAGACAGUAGUAGAAGAUUAUAAUGAUAAUAACCAUUGGGCUACCCCAGCCUCCAAAUGGAAGCAGGGCACAGGUAAUCAUAAGAAUCAAAAUGGUAUACCCCAGCCUCUAUGAUCCACAUCAUCAUGCUUGUCUUAUUGUCUAGUAUUAAUUCAAUGACUCCGAGAAUGCAGAAGAAACUGCAGAUCUAAAGCUUAAUUAAGUUCCGCAAAACAAUAUGCAAAUCGGAAUUGCAAUAAUAAACUGUUAAACUUAACGCCACUAAAUACAAAAUUCAAGCAUAUUCGUAAAAUUCUAACAGUGGUGAAUCAAAUAAACUACAUCGUUUGCAAAUUUUAAGAUAGAAUCAGGUUUCAUUGUGUGAUGGAUCAAGUGUAUAAGAUUAUCUAGAAUUCAAAUUCAUCACAAAUCAUACACUCCUGUAAUCCAGAAUUCGAACAGAUCUCAGAUCUGAAUCGAAUUUUAACUAGGAGAAGACGAUUGUAAAAUUGCCCUAAAAGAAACCCGAAAUGUAAAUUAGGAAGUAUGAAAAAAUGAAUCGGGAGUGUUAAAUUAAACUCGAAUCAGAAGAAAAGCAAGUAAUCAGAUAAUGGAGUUCCAGGAAUGCACCUUCUUCAUCGCGAUCAUCAUCUUUCUUGACAAGCGGUUGAGCCAUUGUGCAGAGAUCUGCGUAGGAGAACUAGAAAAACAAACUAAUAAGGUUAAUUGUUGCCUGUGCCUGAAUAUAAGUGUACAAGACGGAGAAUUAGCAAAUCUGCCAACGUCAGUUUCUAUUUAUUUGUGUAGAAUGGAGUGUAGAUCUCUCUCCCUCUCUCUGGGUUCCCAGAUGCAGCUUGACGAACAACCGAAGAUUUACUUGAGUGAUGUUAAUAAGGUUAGUGAGGGGUCAAUGGUGCGAUUGCGAAGGGUAAAUUCGGUAUUCCGUGUUUAAAGUGCACAUUUUUUUUUGCGUUGUUCCAAUUUAUAAAAUUUUCAAAAUAACAGAGGUAAAUAUUAUUUUAAAUCUUAAACUAUAUUCAUUUUAUUAGAAAUAUUUUGAAUUAUAUAAAAAAUACUCUGUUAAUUUAAACAUUAAUUAUUAACUUUGUGUCAAAAAUAUCCCGCAUUUAUAUUUCAACCCUUGAAAUUUCGACGUUACUUGUCGAAUGCUACUAUGUACAAUAAUUUUUAUUUUUUAAAUAACAUGGUACAAAUCGAAUGUCACUUGAAACCCCCGACUAUCAACUGUUGUAAAUAAAAUAUCUAGCGUCCAUUUUCUGGCCUCCAAAAUAUUGAUAUUUCUUAUCGGAUGCUAUUGUAUUAUUUUUAUUUUUAUUUUUAAAUACAUGACACAAAAUGAAUCUCAAACUAAUCUAAGUAGUCUACUUCUAAGACCAAAAUACCCUUCAGAAAGCCAUAACCAUAGACCUCAACGAAUUCGGACAAGUUCUCAAAUUGAUCGUCGUACUCACCAGAGCACCCGAUGUUUGAGAUGAAAUAAGACACAAAUGUUUGUGGAAAUGGAGCAGAGAAACCCCACGACCGUUGGUGAACAACUGAGCCACCAAACAUAAACCAUUGUUGUCUUAUGAUUUAUGUUGGUCCCGAGGCGAGUAUGUUCUGGUGUAUGAGAGGAAUACACCAUAUAUCAAAUUUUGCUCAUUUUCUGAUAGUAUUGAACAAUUUAGCUAGUAAUGAGCCAGCUAGAGAAAGACGUGUCAACUUGUUGAAAGCUACCUUACUAAUAAUUCAAGUACGCCUACUAACAAUAGGUGGACAGACAAUGAGGUUUCUGUUCAAACACGAAUACAGAAUUUGGUAGCUAGCAAAACUCACUUUAAUGAAAAUAUUUAAUGCGUGCACAAUAUCAGCGACUUGAAUCAAACUAAUAAAGUUUAGAAAUCAGUAUGUGCAAGUGAGUUUGUGUGAUGCAUAAGGUCAGCUUGCUGAAAGCUUUGACAGAUAGAGCAAAACUGAACCAAAAUAGAGAUUGUAAAAACAUAAUCAUUUUUCUUCUGUAGUUGUCUUGUUGGUUUGUGGACGGUUGAUAUAAUAAGGUAAGAACAUUUUCAAUAAAAUAAAAAGAGAAAACAUAAAGUACAACACACAAACAUUUUAACGUGAUUUAGAACAACUACUCCUAUGUCCACGACCCUGACAAACAUGGGAAUCCCUUAACCUUGAGUUUCUUGUUUUGUAGCUGCAAGUCAGCUUGACUAGUCAUAUCACCUUAGACUGAUCACACGGUUACGCGACCGUGACUGUUGCUUAGGCGAUUUCCCGAUUGCAAUUUCGUUACUUAGUAAUUUUUACUGUUGCAAUUUCGUCCUUUGCAAUUUACACAGUUGCAAUUAGGGAUGGCAGUGGAUCCUAGACCCGGUCCAGAUCCGUGGAUCCAGAUCCGAUUUUACGGAUCUGGAUCUCAAUUUUUUGGAUCCGCGGAUCUGGAUCCGGAUCUGGAUCUCAUUUUCUAAAACGGAUCUGGAUCUGGAUCUUGACAUUUGAGAUCCGGAUCCGACCCAGAUCCGACCAGUGGAUCCGAUUUAAUUUAAAAUAUAUUAUUUAUUUUUUAUAUUUAUUUUAUUAAUAAUAUUAGAUAUAUUAAAAAUUAAAAAUAAUAAAAAAAGGAUAACUUUGAAAACCUAAUUUCUAAGUCAUUUCUCUCUCCCCUCUCGGUUCUUCACCUUCUCACUCCUGCGCCGCCUGACCUCCAUCGCUCACUCACUCCCAUCUCCUUCUCGGCUCAGUCACACCGCCUCACCUCCAUCGCCGGUCGCCUCCUCCACUUCGCUAGCCAGCCCGCCGCCGGAGAAAUCGGGAACAGCAGCAGCAGUGCAGCACACUCCAGUUCGUGCGACUCCAGCCGCUUCACUCCCAUCGUCGGUCUCCUUCUCCAAUUCGUCCGCCCGCCGCCGACGAAGGCAGGAACAGCAGCAGCACACUCCAGUUCGGCCGCCUCUCCAGUUCGGCUCGCAGCACGCUCCAGUACGCUCGCUCCAGCAGCAGCACGCUCCAGUUCGGCUCGCCGCCAGACUCCACCACCGCGGCGCCGCCAUCGUUCAGCCACGAGCUUGUCUACCACAGGAUGCUCUGAAUCAAAGGUUAGAUUUUGAUUUUGGGCAUGUUUAUGACUGAAAUUUUGAAUCUGAUUUGAAUUGAUUUAUAUUCGAAAUUUAUGAAUGUUUGUCUUAGGUUAUUAGGUUCUGAUUUGGAUUGUGAAUUUCUGAAUUAGGUUCUGUAUUUGUUAUGAAGUUAUGAAGUUAGAUUUGUGAUUUUACAAUGGUUCUGCAUUUGUUAGAAUUGGAGCAGGAAAUUAAUCUUUUGAAGAUGAUGUUAUGAAGUUAGAUUGUGAAGUUAUUAGGUUCUGCAUUUGUUAGAUUAUGAACUUAUUAGGAAAUUGGAGCAGGAAAUUAAUCUUUUGGAGCAGCAAGAAAUGAUGUUAUAUUUGUUUUGUUUGUGUAGGAGAGUGAAAAUAAGUUGAAUGAAGAAGAGUUUGUUGAACAACUUGUGAAUGUGAUUGUACUUGAAGAUGAUUCCACCAAGGCUAAAGUCAUUGGAACCGCGGAACUUGAUUUUCAUGACGGAUAUUAAAUGUUGUUGAUUUUGUACAAUAUUUUUCAUGAUGGAUAUUAAAUAUUGUUGAUUUUGUGAAUUUAUUUGUGAAUUUAAUUUGAAAACAGUAGAUCCAUGGAUCUGGACCCGCGGAUCCGCGGAUCUGACGGAUCUGGAUCUGGAUCCAAAAUUUUUAGAUCCGCGGAUCUGGAUCCGGUAUAUGCAAACGGAUCUGGAUCUGGUAUUGGUCAGACCCGGUCCAGAUCCGGCCCGUUGCCAUCCCUAGUUGCAAUAUUGUACUUAGCCAUUUACGUAGUUGCAAUACUGUAGGCAGCAAUUUGCGCGAUUGCAAUCCCAUUACUUGGCAUAUAAUCUAAACCUCACGAUUCAUGAUAAUAUUAUUAUGAGGAAUUGAUGUGAUAAUAUUUUCCUUGGGGUAUUAUUGUGAUAACCUAUGUUUUUCACCUAAAAAGAACACAAGAUAAAUGUGGGAAGAUAAUAUUUUAUCAUCUUUCUUAUCCCUGUUUUUCUAAUGAUAAAUUUACAACCAAAGAAAAUGCACUCUAAAAAUACAUUUAUCAAUCAUUUUAUUAAAACGCAUGUCCUCUAUUUUAUCAUAUAAUUUUUAUGGAGGGAAGCAAUAUUAAUUUGAAUAAAAUAUUUGUACAUAAUAUAAAAUUAUGUAUUAAAACAAAUCAACACUACAAUCUUAACCACUCGAGUUGGGGCCAUUUGUACUUAAUUGAUUCGGUGCACAAUAAACUUUUCAAUUAGAAAAAAAAAAGAUUGAAACUUGUUUGAGUGGGUGCAAAACUGUCAUGGAAUCAGGACCAAAUAUGUUGAAAAGAAAGCUAGGACUAUAGAAGAGAAACGAGAAGAAGAAGCAAAUAAUAAAAAUCGGAUAUUGGGAAAAAAAAGAAAAAAAGAAAUUGAUUGAAAUGGAAGAAGGUUUGUGUUGUCCACUCGUAGGCUAAAUUAGAGGCUAUGGCACUCUUUAUGUUCCAUAGUCUGUUGCUAAGUUGAUAUUUGAUAACUUGUGGAGAUUAUUAUGUACCUCGUUUAAGAAAAAUUAACAUUUGCACCUUUUGCAAUUAGAGCUGUCAAAAUUAGCUUGGUGUGAUGGGCUGGUCCAAUUCAUCUAGAUUUAAGGUUGGUUGAGCUCCAUAAAAUAAAGGUCCGGAAAAAAAUCGACCUAAAAAGUUCGUUCAAACGAUUUGUUGGAUUGGCUGGGCUUGCCCGAAGUUUUUGGGCUUUUUGACCUGCUCGAUUUUUUUAUAUAUAAGAAAUAUUUGUAAGAAUAAAAAAUUAAAAAAAAUGUAAAACCAUUUUCUAUAUUUUUCAUAAACGGAAGGAACAUAUUUUUGCGAAUCAUAUAUAGUAUUUAUCGUGAAGUAAAGAAACGAUCCAUGCAUACACAUACAACUCUUAAAUGAUCAAAGAUACACAAAUUUGCAAAGUCCAUAGAUUUAGAGGGUGUUUGGCUAAGCUUAUUUAAAAGAGCUUAUAAGCUCUUGGAGCUUAUAAGAUGUAAUUUUUAAGAGCUUAUAAGUUGUCAAAGUGUUUGGAUAAUUGAGCUUAUAAGCUAGAGAGAAUGUUUUUGCUAGAGAGAGAAAAUAUUUUUUUAGAGAGAGAAAAUCGAAGAAAAAUAAACUUGAAUAAUAUAUAAUGAAAAUAAUAAAUUAUAGUUGAAAAAUAUUUGUAAAAAGAUUAAUGUUGCAUAUGAGAUUAUAAAAAAAUAAGUUGGAGUAGAGAAACUUAUUUUUUGGGAGCUUAUAAGUUCUUGGAGCUUAUAAACUGUUUAGAAGCUUAUUUUGCCAAACACUUUGAAGGAGCUUAUAAGCUCAUAAACAGCUUAUGAACUGUUUUGAGGAGCUUAUAAGCUCAGCCAAACACCCUCUUAAUCACCCAACUUGCAUUCAUUAAGAAAAGUUGGCUGCAAUACAACUGACAAUCCCUAAUGAAUCUCCAUCCUACCAAUUCCUAAGUAAAAAAAUCAACAAAUAAUUAAAAUAUGCAUCCAAUUCUUCUAAAAAAAACUCUAAAACGAACAACUCCUGUAAAAAGCCAAAACUUUAGAAACUAGAAAACUAGUGCUAUUCGCAGUUUCCGACUACCUUAUUAUUAGCAUGGAAAAUUAAUUUUUUUUUUUUUAUUUGAUUUGAUUUACAAAGGAAUCAGGGGCCGAGGUGGAAUCCCGUGUUGGGUCGUCUCAUUUCGUUGGAACUCGACUGAGAAUAGUCGCUGACGUCGCUACCGGUGGUGAAGCUUUGAUUAGACAUCCCGGCGGCCGACUUUUGAAGUCUUUGCAAGUCGUAUUCGGAGUUGCUCGCCGACAAUGAUCCCUGCGCCUUCAUCACUUCCUGCAGAUCGUCUAACGACACAUCGCCUUCCAGAGCCCGAACAACCUAAAUUUGUUCAUUUUUAAGUUUUCUUCACACUUGAAAAAAACAGGAAAGGAAUUGAAGAAGAACCUGGCUCAUUUUAGGACGUCUUCUUGCAGAUUGUCUAAUGCAGGCGGCGGCGGCGGUUACCAUACGAAGCGCUUCUCCAUGCUCAUAGCGGCCUUCUAGCCGUGGAUCCAUCAGCUCUACGUAGCUUCCUCCUUCUCCCACCACGUUCAUCAAAAUUGGCCGAGCCUGCAAUUGUGUCAUCAUAUAUUACUCCUAUAUUAGUUUAACGCAAAAGAAGAAGAAGAUGAACAAGUUGGUUUAAUUACCCAAUCAACUAGAGUGUCAUCAUCAUCAUCCCUAGUGAUGUCGACAGGGCGUCGUCCAGUUAUAAGUUCUAGAAGCACGAUCCCGAACGAGUACACGUCGGAUUUGUCCGUGAGCUUCCCGCUCGAAGCAUACUCAGGCGCCAAGUACCUGUAUUAGAUGCCAAUUCAUUCAAUUAUCUAAUUACCUUCUUAUAUAUAGUAAUGGUGUCCAUCUUUUUUUUAUCAUAAUUUGUUGCUACUACUUUGAAAUUUAAGCUACUGGGACUAUGAGUGGGAGAAAUUAGUUAAAUUUCGUACCCAAACGUGCCCAUUAUACGGGUUGAAACAUGAGUAUUGUUGUCCGACGAAAGCUUGGCUAAUCCAAAAUCAGCCACCUGCGUCACAUAUAUGAAAAUAUUUGAUAUAACAACAAAUUAAAUAGGAUCAGACUACAAACUCAUUUUAAAAUAUGAAUCAUAAAUUAUGAAAAAUAUGAUGGAUUCGUCAUGAAAAGUGAUAAAUGAAAAAUAAAUCGCCAUCAAUGGGAUUCUAACCAGGAGCACCAAUAAAACGAUAAAUCCAAAAGUAGAUCAUGAUUUCUAAUUUAUAUUUGAAAAUGAAUUUUCAUUUUUGAAUCCCUCGACAAUAUAUAUAAUUUCUGUUGCAUUCUAAAAAAAUGGUAAUUAUAUACAUAGAUAUCCAGUGGCAUACCUUGGCUUCAAAAUUGUUAUCAAGCAAAAUGUUUGCAGCUUUAAUAUCUCUAUGGAUAAUGCGAGGAUGACCUGCUCGUUUAAUUUGCAUAAUCAAUUAUAUAUGAGGACUAUAGCACAUGUAAUGUAAUGUAAUAUAGAGAAUUAAUGUAUUAGAACAUACAAUCUUCGUGAAGGUAAGCAAAGCCUUUGGCAGCACCCAAAGCAAUUCUGAGCCUAGUCGAAAACUCCAUAGACUGGCGGUUUGUUCCUGAAAGGCAUAUAUAUGCAGGAGAUGGAGUGAGAUGAGAAAUAAUAUAAUUAAAGAGAAAUUAGAUGAUGAUGAUGCGGCAUAUAUAGCAUUAAUUACCAUGUAGGUGAUCCUCGAGAGUGGAGUUGGGGACAUACUCAUAAACCAACAUCCGCUGGGAUCCUGCGAUGCAGUAGCCAACCAAGGACACCAAAUGGCGGUGAUGCACGCGGCUGAUGAUAUCCACCUCCGCUUGGAACUCGCGCUCCCCCUGCCCGCUGUUGGACUUCAAGCUCUUCACCGCCACUUCCUUCCCGUUCGGCAGAACCCCCUUGUGCACGUACCCGAACCCCCCCUGCCCCAGGAGGUUCGCCUGCGCGAAACCCCCUGUCGCCGCCGCCAGGUCGUUGUACGAGAAUGUGCUCUGGUUGUACCCGCUCCACAUCAUCGCCGGAUGCGGCGCGGCAGCGGCGGCCCCGAGAAUCCGCCCGAACUCUGCGCGCUCAGCAUCGGCGGAGGCGGGGGCGGGCCGGCAUCCAUUGCUCCGAGCUCACCCCGGAGGUCGCCGGCACCGGGUAUUUCAUGUUGCCGUCCAUGGUCCUGUACCCCGGUUGUUCUGCCAAUUUCCUGCCUAUGCGACGUGUUGUUGUAGUAGUUUCCGCUGUAUAUAUAAUACCUGAAAUUAAUUAUGAGGAAAUUACACUUCAACUUCUCAACUGUAUAUGAUCAAAGGCUUGAGAUAUUGGGAUGGCAAAUUAAUUAAAAAUGACAUGGACCAAAAUGAUACUAUGCAUAUAUUAUUGAUUGAUGAUGUUUUUGUGAAAGCGUAAAAAGUUUAAGAUUAGAAUUGGAAUUUAAGUGAUAAUAAAGGUAACGUACGUACCUGAAUUAUGAGGCUUUUCUUGAUAAUAAUUUUUACUAUCAUCGCGAUUCUUGCGUUUCUUCUUUCUACAACAACAUAUGCAGCAGAUGAUAAAAAAGAGGAUUACCAUUCCUACCCCUACCGCCGACCCUAUAAUGGCGUGCUCACGAUCUUUAUUACUCGGCGGCGGCCACGGAAAUGAGAUCGAUUCUGCUAGAGCUUGCGGAGGGCCGCCGCUCCAGUCUUCAUCUAAUUCGCUAGGCGACAGCAGCUGCGGCGGCGGCGGCCCUCGAGGCUUGGUGUUGUUGCUGGGUGGGGGACUUUUUCUCAACGGCGGAGGAGGCGAACUCCAAUUGGGUGGAGGCGGGGAUGACGCGGUGGGUGGUGGAGGGGGUGAGGACGACGCCGGUGGUGGCGGCGAUGAUGCGGUGGGUGGUGGAGGGGGCGAGGAUGAGAUCGGCGGCGGAGGAGAAGGCGCCGACAACGGCGCCGAUGACGUUUCCUGUAGUAUACGCAUGNGCAGGGGCAACAGGUAAUCAUAAGAAUACAAAAUGGUACUACCCCAGCCUCUAUGAUCCACAUCAUCAUGCUUGUCUUAUUGUCUAGUAUUAAUUCAAUGACUCCGAGAAUGCAGAAGAAACUGCAGAUCUAAAGCUUAAUUAAGGUUCCGCAAAACAAUAUGCAAAUCGGAAUUGCAAUAAUAAACUGUUAAACUUAACGCCACUAAAUACAAAAUUCAAGCAUAUUCGUAAAAUUCUAACAGUGGUGAAUCAAAUAAACUACAUCGUUUGCAAAUUUUAAGAUAGAAUCAGGUUUCAUUGUGUGAUGGAUCAAGUGUAUAAGAUUAUCUAGAAUUCAAAUUCAUCACAAAUCAUACACUCCUGUAAUCCAGAAUUCGAACAGAUCUCAGAUCUGAAUCGAAUUUUAACUAGGAGAAGACGAUUGUAAAAUUGCCCUAAAAGAAACCCGAAAUGUAAAUUAGGAAGUAUGAAAAAAAUGAAUCGGGAGUGUUAAAUUAAACUCGAAUCAGAAGAAAAGCAAGUAAUCAGAUAAUGGAGUUCCAGGAAUGCACCUUCUUCAUCGCGAUCAUCAUCUUUCUUGACAAGCGGUUGAGCCAUUGUGCAGAGAUCUGCGUAGGAGAACUGAAAACAAACUAAUAAGGUUAAUUGUUGCCUGUGCCUGAAUAUAAGUGUACAAGAGGAGAAUUAGCAAAUCUGCCAACGCAGUUUCUAUUUAUUUGUGUAGAAUGGAGUGUAGAUCUCUCUCCCUCUCUCUGGGUUCCCAGAUGCAGCUUGACGAACAACCGAAGAUUUACUUGAGUGAUGUUAAUAAGGUUAGUGAGGGGUCAAUGGUGCGAUUGCGAAGGGUAAAUUCGGUAUUCCGUGUUUAAAGUGCACAUUUUUUUUGCGUUGUUCCAAUUUAUAAAAUUUUCAAAAUAACAGAGGUAAAUAUUAUUUUAAAUCUUAAACUAUAUUCAUUUUAUUAGAAAUAUUUUGAAUUAUAUAAAAAAUACUCUGUUAAUUUAAACAUUGAAUUAUUAACUUUGUGUCAAAAAUAUCCCGCAUUUAUAUUUCAACCCUUGAAAUUUCGACAUGACUUGUCGAAUGCUACUAUGUACAAUAAUUUUUAUUUUUUAAAUAACAUGGUACGAAUCGAAUGUCACUUGAAACCCCUCGACUAUCAACUGUUGUAAAUAAAAUAUAUAGCGUCCAUUUUCUGGCCUCCAAAAUAUUGAUAUUUCUUAUCGGAUGCUAUUGUAUUAUUUUUAUUUUAAAUACAUGACACAAAAUGAAUCUCAAACUAAUCUAAGUAGUCUACUUCUAAGACCAAAAUACCCUUCAGAAAGCCAUAACCAUAGACCUCAACGAAUUCGGACAAGUUCUCAAAUUGAUCGUCGUAACCUCACCAGAGCACCCGAUGUUUGAGAUGAAAGAAGACACAAAUGUUUGUGGAAAUGGAGCAGAGAAACCCCACGACCGUUGGUGAACAACUGAGCCACCAAACAUAAACCAUUGUUGUCUUAUGAUUUAUGUUGGUCCCGAGGCGAGUAUGUUCUGGUGUAUGAGAGGAAUACACCAUAUAUCAAAUUUUGCUCAUUUUCUGAUAGUAUUGAACAAUUUAGCUAGUAAUGAGCCAGCUAGAGAAAGACGUGUCAACUUGUUGAAAGCUACCUUACUAAUAAUUCAAGUACGCCUACUAACAAUAGGUGGACAGACAAUGAGGUUUCUGUUCAAACACGAAUACAGAAUUUGGUAGCUAGCAAAACUCACUUUAAUGAAAAUAUUUAAUGCGUGCACAAUAUCAGCGACUUGAAUCAAACUAAUAAAGUUUAGAAAUCAGUAUGUGCAAGUGCAGUUUGUGUGAUGCAUAAGGUCAGCUUGCUGAAAGCUUUGACAGAUAGAGCAAAACUGAACCAAAAUAGAGAUUGUAAAAACAUAAUCAUUUUUCUUCUGUAGUUGUCUUGUUGGUUUGUGGACGGUUGAUAUAAUAAGGUAAGAACAUUUUCAAUAAAAUAAAAAGAGAAAACAUAAAGUACAACACACAAACAUUUUAACGUGAUUUAGAACAACUACUCCUAUGUCCACGACCCUGACAAACAUGGGAAUCCCUUAACCUUGAGUUUCUUGUUUUGUAGCUGCAAGUCAGCUUGACUAGUCAUAUCACCUUAGACUGAUCACACGGUUACGCGACCGUGACUGUUGCUUAGGCGGUUUCCCGAUUGCAAUUUCGUUACUUAGUAAUUUUUACUGUUGCAAUUUCGUCCUUUGCAAUUUACACAGUUGCAAUAUUGUACUUAGCCAUUUACGUAGUUGCAAUACUGUAGGCAGCAAUUUGCGCGAUUGCAAUCCCAUUACUUGGCAUAUAAUCUAAACCUCACGAUUCAUGAUAAUAUUAUUAUGGGGAAUUGAUGUGAUAAUAUUUUCCUUGGGGUAUUAUUGUGAUAACCUAUGUUUUUCACCUAAAAAGAACACAAGAUAAAUGUGGGAAGAUAAUAUUUUAUCAUAUUUCUUAUCCCUGUUUUUCUAAUGAUACAACCAAAGAAAAUGCACUCUAAAAAUAAUUUAUCAAUCAUUUUAUUAAAACCAUGUCCUCUAUUUUAUCAUAUAAUUUUUAUGGAGGGAAGAAUAUUAAUUUGAAUAAAAUAUUUGUACAUAAUAUAAAAUUAUGUAUUAAAACAAAUCAACACUACAAUCUUAACCACUCGAGUUGGGGCCAUUUGUACUUAAUUGAUUCGGUGCACAAUAAACUUUUCAAUUAGAAAAAAAAAAGAUUGAAACUUGUUUGAGUGGGUGCAAAACUGUCAUGGAAUCAGGACCAAAUAUGUUGAAAAGAAAGCUAGGACUAUAGAAGAGAAACGAGAAGAAGAAGCAAAUAAUAAAAAUCGGAUAUUGGGAAAAAAAAGAAAAAAAGAAACUGAUUGAAAUGGAAGAAGGUUUGUGUUGUCCACUCGUAGGCUAAAUUAGGGCUAUGGCACUCUUUAUGUUCCAUAGUCUGUUGCUAAGUUGAUAUUUGAUAACUUGUGGAGAUUAUUAUGUACCUCGUUUAAGAAAAAUUAACAUUUGCACCUUUUGCAAUUAGAGCUGUCAAAAUUAGCUUGGUGUGAUGGGCUGGUCCAAUUCAUCUAGAUUUAAGUUGGUUGAGCUCCAAAAAUAAAGGUCCGGAAAAAAAUCGACCUAAAAAGUUCGUUCAAACGAUUUGUUGGAUUGGCUGGGCUUGCCCGAAGUUUUUGGGCUUUUUGACUGCUCAUUUUUUUAUAAUAAGAAAUAUUUGUAAGAAUAAAAAAUUAAAAAAAAUGUAAAACCAUUUUCUAUAUUUUUCAUAAACGGAAGGAACAUAUUUUUGCGAAUCAUAUAUAGUAUUUAUCGUGAAGUAAAGAAACGAUCCAUGCAUACACAUACAACUCUUAAAUGAUCAAAGAUACACAAAUUUGCAAAGUCCAUAGAUUUAGAGGGUGUUUGGCUAAGCUUAUUUAAAAGAGCUUAUAAGAUGUUUCAAGAGCUUAUAAGAUGUAAUUUUUAAGAGCUUAUAAGUUGUCAAAGUGUUUGGAUAAUUGAGCUUAUAAGCUAGAGAGAGAAAAUAUUUUUUUAGAGAGAGAAAAUCGAAGAAAAAUAACUUGAAUAAUAUAUAAUGAAAAUAAUAAAUUAUAGUUGAAAAAUAUUUGUAAAAAGAUUGUUGCAUAUGAGAUUAUAAAAAAAUAAGUUGGGGUAGAGGAACUUAUUUUUUGGGGAGCUUAUAAGUUCUUGGAGCUUAUUUUUGGAGCUUAUAAGCUGUUUAGGAGCUUAUUUUGCCAAACACUUUGAAGGAGCUUAUAAGCUCCUAAACAACUUAUAAACUGUUUUGAGGAGGUUAUAAGCUCAGCUAAACACCCUCUUAAUCACCCAACUUGCAUUCAUUAAGAAACAUUCAUUAAGAAAAGUUGGCUGCAAUACAACUGACAAUCCCUAAUGAAUCUCCAUCCUACCAAUUCCUAAUUAAAAAAAUCAACAAAUAAUUAAAAUAUGCAUCCAAUUCUUCUAAAAAAAAACUCUAAAACGAACAACUCCUGUAAAAAGCCAAAACUUUCGAAACUAGAAAACUAGUGCUAUUCGCAGUUUCCGACUACCUUAUUAUUAGCAUGGAAAAUUAAUUUUUGUUUUUUUUUUAAUUUUGAUUUGAUUUACAAAGGAAUCAGGGGCCGAGGUGGAAUCCCGUGUUGGGUCGUCUCAUUUCGUUGGAACUGGACUGAGAAUAGUCGCUGACGUCGCUACCGGUGGUGAAGCUUUGAUUAGACAUCCCGGCGGCCGACUUUUGAAGUCUUUGCAAGUCGUAUUCGGAGUUGCUCGCCGACAAUGAUCCCUGCGCCUUCAUCACUUCCUGCAGAUCGUCUAACGACACAUCGCCUUCCAGAGCCCGAACAACCUAAAUUUGUUCAUUUUUAAGUUUUCUUCACACUUGAAAAAAACAAGGAAAGGAAUUGAAUAAGAACCUGGCUCAUUUUAGGACGUCUUCUUGCAGAUUGUCUAAUGCAGGCGGCGGCGGCGGUUACCAUACGAAGCGCUUCUCCAUGCUCAUAGCGGCCUUCUAGCCGUGGAUCCAUCAGCUCUACGUAGCUUCCUCCUUCUCCCACCACGUUCAUCAAAAUUGGCCGAGCCUGCAAUUGUGUCAUCAUGUAUUACUAUAUUAGUUUAACGCAAAAGAAGAAGAAGAUGAACAAGUUGGUUUAAUUACCCAAUCAACUAGAGUGUCAUCAUCAUCAUCCCUAGUGAUGUCGACAGGGCGUCGUCCAGUUAUAAGUUCUAGAAGCACGAUCCCGAACGAGUACACGUCGGAUUUGUCCGUGAGCUUCCCGCUCGAAGCAUACUCAGGCGCCAAGUACCUGUAUUAGAUGCCAAUUCAUUCAAUUAUCUAAUUACCUUCUUAUAUAUAGUAAUAGUGUCCAUCUUUUUUUUAUCAUAAUUUGUUGCUACUUUGAAAUUUAAGCUACUGAGACUAUGAGUGGGAGAAAUUAGUUAAAUUUCGUACCCAAACGUGCCCAUUAUACGGGUUGAAACAUGAGUAUUGUUGUCCGACGAAAGCUUGGCUAAUCCAAAAUCAGCCACCUGCGUCACAUAUAUGAAAAUAUUUGAUAUAACAACAAAUUAAAUAGGAUCAGACUACAAACUCAUUUUAAAAUAUGAAUCAUAAAUUAUGAAAAAUAUGAUGGAUUCGUCAUGAAAAGUGAUAAAUGAAAAAUAAAUCGCCAUCAAUGGGCCGGGAUUCUAACCAGGAGCACAAUUUCAUACAAUAAAACGAUAAAUCCAAAAGUAGAUCAUGAUUUCUAAUUUAUAUUUGAAAAUGAAUUUUCAUUUUUGAAUCCCUCGACAAUAUAAUAUAUAUAAUUUCUGUUGCAUUCUAAAAAAAUGGUAAUUAUAUAAUAGAUAUCCAGUGGCAUACCUUGGCUUCAAAAUUGUUAUCAAGCAAAAUAUUUGCAGCUUUAAUAUCUCUAUGGAUAAUGCGAGGAUGACCUGCUCGUUUAAUUUGCAUAAUUAAUUAUAUAUGAGGACUAUAGCACAUGUAAUGUAAUGUAAUAUAGAGAAUUAAUGUAUUAGAACAUACAAUCUUCGUGAAGGUAAGCAAAGCCUUUGGCAGCACCCAAAGCAAUUCUGAGCCUAGUCGAAAACUCCAUAGACUGGCGGUUUGUUCCUGAAAGGCAUAUAUAUGCAGGAGAUGGAGUGAGAUGAGAAAUAAUAUAAUUAAAGAGAAAUUAGAUGAUGAUGAUGCGGCAUAUAUAUAUAUAGCAUUAAUUACCAUGUAGGUGAUCCUCGAGAGUGGAGUUGGGGACAUACUCAUAAACCAACAUCCGCUGGGAUCCUGCGAUGCAGUAGCCAACCAAGGACACCAAAUGGCGGUGAUGCACGCGGCUGAUGAUAUCCACCUCCGCUUGGAACUCGCGCUCCCCCUGCCCGCUGUUGGACUUCAAGCUCUUCACCGCCACUUCCUUCCCGUUCGGCAGAACCCCCUUGUGCACGUACCCGAACCCCCCCUGCCCCAGGAGGUUCGCCUGCGCGAAACCCCCUGUCGCCGCCGCCAGGUCGUUGUACGAGAAUGUGCUCUGGUUGUACCCGCUCCACAUCAUCGCCGGAUGCGGCGGCGGCAGCGGCGGCCCCGAGAAUCCGCCCGAACUCUGCGCGCUCAGCAUCGGCGGAGGCGGGGGCGGGGCCGGCAUCCAUUGCUCCGAGCUCACCCCGGAGGUCGCCGGCACCGGGUAUUUCAUGUUGCCGUCCAUGGUCCUGUACCCCGCGUUGUUCUGCCAAUUUCUCUGCCUAUGCGACGUGUUGUUGUAGUAGUUUCCGCCUGUAUAUAUAAUACCUGAAAUUAAUUAUGAGGAAAUUACACUUCAACUUCUCAACUGUAUAUGAUCAAAGGCUUGAGAUAUUGGGAUGGCAAUUAAUUAAAAAUGACAUGGACCAAAAUGAUACUAUGCAUAUAUUAUUGAUUGAUGAUGUUUUUGUGAAAGCGUAAAAAGUUUAAGAUUAGAAUUGGAAUUUAAGUGAUAAUAAAGGUAACGUACGUACCUGAAUUAUGAGGCUUUUCUUGAUAAUAAUUUUUACUAUCAUCGCGAUUCUUGCGUUUCUUCUUUCUACAACAACAUAUGCAGCAGAUGAUAAAAAAGAGGAUUACCAUUCCUACCCCUACCGCCGACCCUAUAAUGGCGUGCUCACGAUCUUUAUUACUCGGCGGCGGCCACGGAAAUGAGAUCGAUUCUGCUAGAGCUUGCGGAGGGCCGCCGCUCCAGUCUUCAUCUAAUUCGCUAGGCGACAGCAGCUGCGGCGGCGGCGGCCCUCGAGGCUUGGUGUUGUUGCUGGGUGGGGGACUUUUUCUCAACGGCGGAGGAGGCGAACUCCAAUUGGGUGGAGGCGGGGAUGACGCGGUGGGUGGUGGAGGGGGUGAGGACGACGCCGGUGGUGGCGGCGAUGAUGCGGUGGGUGGUGGAGGGGGCGAGGAUGAGAUCGGCGGCGGAGGAGAAGGCGCCGACAACGGCGCCGAUGACGUUUCCUGUAGUAUACGCAUGAGAUUACCCCGCUUCCGUGCAAUAACCUAAUUAAGAGUUACGUUAUUAAUCUUAUGUCAAACAUAAUAGUAUUGAACAUGAAAUCUUUAAAAUUUUAAGAUAAUUAAUGACAUUAAUUCAUGGAAUUGGAAGUGAAGCCACACAAGUGGAGAGGCGGAGAGAGUGAAGAGAGAGAAGGGAAGGGAAGAAAAUGAAUAGUAUACCUAGAGAUGAUUCUCUAAAGAUGCUGCUUUCAACGAAGAAAACUAGUAAACUAUGACCCUCUUCCAUAAGUCUCCUACAACAAUGGAAAUCAACUGUCGUUUUCUAUUUUUAGGUCUUUUUGUUACAUGAUCCGAAUAAGUUGUCGUCUAAAGUAUUUCAAUUUCGCUUACAAAUUAUUCACUACACGUCAUGCUUAUACUACAAUAUAAGUAUACAACUUAAAUAUAGCAGUAAAUUGAGGAUCUCAUUCUAUUUGUAAACCUAUUAUUUGGCCUUAGCUAUCCAAAAAUAAUAGAGAACAUUAUUCUUAGACAAGAUAUAUUUUACAUCUUAAUUAUCGUAAAUAAUUGCAUUUUUUAUAUAUAAAAAAGAAAAAAGAAGUAUGUGGAAAUAAAUUCAAUUUGAAAGGUAAAAUUAGAAUCCAAAAAAAUUACAUGAUUCACUAGCUACCAUAUUGAAAACGUUGGCACACUUCAAACAAAUAAUAUAUUACCUCCAUCCCCAAAUAAUUUUCUAAAAGGAGACGACACAAAUUUUAAGGAAAUGUUGUUAAGUGUAUUGGUAGUGAAGAAAAAGUGUAUAAUUAGUAUUGAAAAUGGUAAAAAGGUGUUAUAUUAGUAUUGAGAAUUGUGAAAUGUUGAAAAAUAAGAAUAAAUAAAGUAUUAUUAGUGGCGGGGUAAUAUUCCAAAAUGGAUAAAAAGUUAUUUGGGGGACAUCACAAAAAGAAAAUAUAGAAAAUUAUUUGGGGGACGGAAGGAGUAGUUAUUUUAUAAAGAAAAUUACAAAACGAUUUCAGUAUAAAAAGGAUUAUGUGAACUUUCUUUAAAAUAAUACUAAUGUAUCUAUAUAUCGGUUGUAUUAAUUAUUAUAAAUCUAUAAAUAUUAAAAGUUGAAUUUUAAUAUUAUUAUAUUUUAAAUAUAUAAUCCAUGUGCAUCGCACAUGCGGUAUACUAUAUAUAUAUAAAAAUAUGUAAAUAAAUUCAAUUAGAAGGAUAUAAUUGAAAAUUCACAAUUGAAAUAUCUAAUAAAUAGAUACUCAACUAGUUUAUACCAACAUGCAUGUAGUAUAAAUAAUCAAACUAAAUUCACGUUUUUUUUUUCAAAAAAGAAAAAGGAAAAAAAAUGAAUUCACUUAUCCAACCAACAAUUAAGGCAUGAUAACUUAGGAUUGUUUUAGGGUUAAUGCCAUGUAAAACCAUGACUUUUGGGCAUAUUCUGAUUUUAACCUCUGACAAAAAAUUAUACUUGUAAAACCACAAACUUUGAGUACAUUCUGAUUUUAACCUUUAUCAAAAGAUUCAGCCUGUAAAAUCGCAAACUUUUAAUUAUUUUUUAUUUUAACUAUGAGAACAGUAUACGACCACAUACAUAAAUUUAACUAGAGUACAUUCUGCAUGAUUGUAAUUAGGGUAUAUUUAAUUUAUUUAUUUUUUUAAGUAUGAAACAACAUCAUUUAACACUACAAAAAUACGUGGGAUUGUCGGCCGAAAUUACCGGCGGCGACACGUAAUAACUGGCGGCCCUUCGACGGCGGAAGAGCUGACCCGUUUUUUUAAAAAACAUGGGCGCAAGUACCGACGGCACCAAAGCCGUCGGUGAUCACCAGGGGCAUUACCGCCGGUAUUAAAGGUUGCCGCCGCUAAAUAUGUUUUAUUAUUAUUUUUUUUAAUAAUACCGGCGGCUCAUGAUUGGCGGCGGGAGUCGACGCCGCCGGUAAAUGCGAUGCGGGUCGGCCAUUACUGGCGGCCCAUGCCGCCGCUAAUUUAAAGGCCCAAAUACGGGCAUGCUGCUAGGGCAGCAACACACCCGCCGUCCCCCCCUUCUCUCUCAAGCUCCAGCCCCCUCUCGCCGCUCGCCGCCGCCGUCGUCGCCAUCCGCCGCCGUCCAGGUAAGCUCCCUUCUUCCUUUGUGUCUUUCUCUCUCUGACCCUCUCUCUCUCUCAUUUCAGCCCCGCCACCGCUAUCGCCACCACCACCGCUCCGCCGUCGACCACUACUGUACGCUCUCAUUCUCGCCAUUUUAUUUAUUUAUUCAUUUACUAUUAUUUUGUUAGAUUAAAAUAAUAUUAAUUAGAUUAAUUUUAUUUAAUUUAUAGUAUGUUUAGUUGUGAAGUAUGAUUAAUUUUAUGUUUACUUAUGAAUUAAUAAAUAAAUAUUUUUUUCGAUAGAAAAAUAAGGACGGAAACGAGACCGAUCUGUAAUUAACAACAUCUCUUGGAUAUCAUCUCGACAUAUUCUAAGGUUAUGAAUAUAUGAUAUUAUAUAUUGAAAUAGACUUUAAAUGAAUUAAUAGGUACUAGAUAUAUCAAUAAUACGAGUGUUCUGUACUGGUGACCACUCGAAAGGAACUUCAAGGUUAAGCGUGCUUGACUUAGAGCACAACUAAGAUGGGUGACCGACUGGAAAGUUCGUCUAACGUAUGCAAUACUGUAUGAAUACGAAAAUACUUGUGGGUAUAAAUAAAUAAAUAAAAACAAAUUACCGGCGGCAGGUUGCCUCCGCUAAUCACCGGCGGCCAAAAAACGCCGAUCAGGUGAGCGGCGCGCCACCGCUGUCCGGUCAAGGUUACCGACGGCGACUUUGCCGCCGCUAAUCACCGGCAACUGGCGAGUGGCACCACCGCCGUCCGGUCAAUAUUACCGGCGGCGGUGGCACCGCCGCUAAUCACCAGAGGCCCAUGCCGUCGGUAAAAGUCCGGCAUAGCUCCGCCGAUCGAUGGUGACAUUCAAUGGCGGCGUCACCGCCGUUAGUUACCGGCGGCGGCCAUUUGCUGGCCGCCGCCGGUAUAUGAAUCACCGACGAGGAAAUUACAGGCGACAACCCGCCGCCGGUGAUCUCAAUACCGACGACCGCCCUAUGUUUAUCGACGGCAAACGCCACCGAUAAUCUCAAUUUUUUUUGUAGUGUAACAUUUAUUAAUCACAUCAACUAGUUAUAAGCCACGUAAGAUUAAAUUCCACGUACGUGAUCAGAUACUAUUCACGUAGUUAAAGUCGGAAACAUUUGAAAGUUCGUGAUUUUACAGCCAGAAUCUUUUGUUAGAGGUUAAAGUGAGAAUAUGCCCAAAGUUCAUGGUUUUACAUGCAGAAUAUUUAUUUAGAGGUUAAAACCAGAAUAUGCCCAAAGUUUUUUAUGAGCCAUUACUAAUCCAUUGUUUUAUUUGCAUAGAUCAUUUAUUUUCUUUUUACAUUUAAAUGCGUUCUAAGUAAAAUACGCAAUAUGUAUAUCAAAUAACAGUGUAUAAAAAGAGGUUGAAUUUAAAAUGAAUAUGUUAUAAUAAUUUAAUUUUUGAGCAUAUUACUUGAAUGAAAUAACUUUUUGAAUUUGAAUGUAGUUAUAAAUGUCACAUAUUUUAAAAAUACUAUCAUAUUAUAAUAAUAAUAAUAAUUGUUAUCUUAAUUACUAGUAUAUAUAUAAACAGAAGAAUGAAUAAUUUAUUUUAAAAUAGGAUUAAUAUUCUAAAAUAGCUAUUAAUGUAUUAUUACUACUACUUAAAAAUGCAAGUUCUCAAGAAGAAAUCAAAUUAUUUUGUUACUUAUGGACUAUUUAGUUUUAGUUUAUUAUGUUUUCUCUUUAUUGUGCAUUUUUUUUCUAUUUUUGUAUAAUUUUCUUGGGAUAAAAUAUGCAAUAUUUAAUUAUGUAUAUAUCUUUAAAAAAAAGAUCAUGAAUAACCUUUAAUUUGAUAUAUGAAAGGUAUAAUUCAAUUUAAAUGAGCAAAUUAUGAAAAUUUAAAAUUUGUGUGUAUAUAUAUAUAUAUAUAUAUAUAUUUCACUUUUUAGUUUUUUUUUAAAGAAAAAAUUAAUUUUCUCAAAAUUUGAGAUUACUGACAUGCUUAAACAUCUUGAAAUCCCGAAAUUAGCUUGAUCUUCGACGUGGUGUAGAUGACAUGUGACUUCAUCAUCUUCGGCGCAUGAAUCUCGACGACUUCGUCAUCUUGAACAAAUUGAGUUUCGUCCAAGUUGAUAGGAUCAAGACCUUGAUAGUAGAAUGCAUUGGAGGCUUGAGUAAAUGAUGAGAAGCCGAUAGGGGAAGAAUUUGGUAUCGAUAGAUGACGAAUUUGGUUGGUUGAAGAGCCAAUUGUUCAAGUCACGUUCUAUUUUUUUUCAAGAGAAAGAACAAGAACGAAAUUUAAAUUGGAAGAAGAAGAAAUGAAGAAGUAUAUAUUUAAAUGUGAUGUAAAAAAUGAAUGAAAAUAAGAGGUAUUUAUAGGAUAAAUUAGAUAAAGAAAAAGGGAAAAUGUUAUUGCAGCAACAUCUAUUUAACAAAAAUAAAAUGCUAAACAAUAAAAUUCCAAAUUUAAUAUAUAUAGGGAGAGGUUCACGAAAGAACCACUAAAUAAAAGAAGAACGGAGAACUAUUUUCAGCCAUUCGAUCAUCAAGAUCUACGGUGGAUGCAUCAUCUUGUUGGAUGAAUGCAGAUCCUGGGUUCGAAUCCUGAAGGGAGCAUUUUUUUUUAAUUUUUAGUUGCUAUUAAUUUUUAACAGUCGUAAUUGCUAUUAAUUUUUACAGUUGGAUGCUAUUAGAUGGUUNUAUAUAUAUAUAUAUAAUAUAUAUAUAUAUAUAUAUAUAUGGUAGGUUAAUAUAAAAACCCCUCUUAAAGAUGAAAACUAGGAAUCAAUUUAAAGCCAUUGAUUUAAAUAAAAUAGAGGGCUGAGAUUAAACUACAGAUGCACAAUUUCGAUUGCAUAGAUGCACAGUUUCAAUUGCAUAGAUGCACAAUUUCGAUUUGCUUGAGUAUUUUGCAUUGUUGGUUUCAAUUGCAUAAAUUGCAUAUUUUUUAAGUGCACAGUAAAAUAUAAUAGAUGCACAGUUUCUUUUGUUGACUAAAUCCUAACCAUUAGAUCUAAUAUUUAAAAGGUCAAGAUUAGGUUCCUAGUUUUCAUUUUAACAGAGGUUUUUAUUAGAACAUCUUCCUCUAUAUAUAUAUAUACUAUAUAUAUAUAUAUAUAUAUAUAUAUAUCUAUUGGAGAUAGUGAAAAUUAAUAAUUGUUCGUAUAAUAUUAUUAUACUCCCUCCGUCCCUAAAAUAACUUCCUCUUUUUCCAUUUUGGGACGUCCCCCAAAUAACUUCCUCUUUCUUUUUUCCAUUUUUGGACACCUACCCCACCACUAAUAAUACUUUAUUUAUUCUUACUUUUCACUUUUCACCACUCCCAAUACUAAUUAUAACACCUUUCACAACUUUCAAUAAUAAUUAUAUCACUUUUUUUCCACUAUCAAUACACUUUACAACUUUUUAUUAAAACCCGUGCCGUCCCCAAAGAGGAAGUCAUUUCAGGGACGGAGGGAGUAAUAAAAUAUAGUUAAUUUUAACUGUUUCGAAUGAAAUUAUCUUCGCCUUUAAUAUAUUUAUUCUACAAAAAUUAUUGCUCUCUUUUUUUUCUCUCUCACCUUCGCUAUUUGUUUCUCUCUGAAAUCCUACUUUUUUCACCGCGCCACCGAGCUGCUCUCUCUCUCUCUUUGAUGUCACACGUAUGCAGUCGUCAACAUUAUCUUAUUCAGAUAUACUUCUAAUGGAGAUCUAUGAGAAUUAUGAGAUGCAAGAUGGAUUUAAAAUGAACAGAAUGAAUUUAUAUCAUCCGUUUCAAGACCUGUCAUCUCAGGUGGUCAACACGGCAAUUAAUUAGCACCAUGCACAAUAGGUGCUUGUGCCUAGAGCAUGGAUCCAUUUGCGAAAGCUCUCCAAUGGUAACCCAUUAGUUAUAGCAUAUAGUUAGGAAUCAUUGGUGAAGAUCCUUAGUGGUAUCCAUAUCAAAUCAUUGUAGAAUCGGUUCUGGCUAUAAGUUAGAUUCGCGAGAUUUGGGUUUAUGUUGUUAUUAUUCUGUAAGAUUUGUACUUGUUUUUGUAGUUGGGAUUAUUGUAAAAUAAAGAAUAUGAAUUAAAUACUCCCUCCGUCCGCCAAAAGUAUUCCACUUUGGCUGGGCACAGAGUUUAAUAAAAUGUGUGAUGAUGUUGAUGUAGUGGAGAAAUGGUCCCACCACUUUAUGAGAUGUGUGGUUGAGAUUGAAUUUGGGGUGGAUCUUUUGUAAAUAAAGAGUGUUUGUAAGGAUAAAAUAUAAAGGUGGAUAAUGGGACCAUGGCUUAAAAAGGAAAGUGGAAUACUUUUUGCGGACGCCAAAUAUAGUAAUUGUGGAAUACUUUUGGCGGACGGAGAGAGUAUUAUUUUUGAAUUUGUGUUAUUUUUAUAAAUUUGUGUUAUUCCUUAUUAUUUCACAUUUUUAUCGUGCAGGCACAUGGGACGAAUGGUACUAAUAUUUCAUUUUGCACCAUUCGUCCCAAGAUCUGUUAUUGCCUAUUGUUGGAACGAAUGGUAUGAAAUGUCAUAUUCGAACCAUUGGUCUAGUUGAUGUCGUGCAAAAUAUUGAGAUGAAUGGAACGAAAGGACAUAUAUAUUCACAUCAUUCAUGAUAAGGUCUUUCGCGCUUGUGUUGAUACGAGUAGGCCCUUUGACACUUCAUACCAUUCGUCCCAACAUUUUGUCACAAUAAAAGUAACACUUAAAAUUAGGAGAAAUGGUUCGAAUAUGCUAUUUCGCACCAUUCGUGUCAAACACUUGGCGCGACAAAGAAUGAGAUGAAUAUUCUAUAUCGCAUCAAUCGUCCCAAUAUCUUUCUCGCCAAGGGUUUGAUACGAAUGGUAUCAAUAUUUCAUUUCGUAACAUUUGUGCCAAAGUCUGUCGCACAAAGUGUUGGAAUGAAUGGUAUGAAAUGCAAAAUGGCCUACUCGUGUCAACAUUAGCGCGAAAGACCUUGAGGCUAAUUGUGUGAAAUAACAUAUUCGUACCAAACACUUGGUGUGAAAGACAUUGGGACGAAUGGUUCGAAUAUGACAUUUGUCCCACAAAAAUGGCGCAAUAAAAAAUAAUACACUUGCAGUUUGUUCUAACAAAUCCAACUAUAAUUGAUUAACAUAAUUCGAAUCAAUAUUUUCUUCAUUUUCCAAACAUACAAUUACAAAUCAUAUGAGAAAAUCAACGCAAAAUCUUAUAACUAACACAAAAUCGAACUAGAAUUCCUAAGCUAAAUCUUCAUUUUUCAUCAUUCCUUCACUUUCUUGCACUGAAGAAAGACAUCGUGCGGGGGGGUGACAAUGAUGAAUAGGAGAAGGCUAGAGAAUGUUCUUCCUCACCUCAAUCCUAUGUACUUGGCACAGAUGGAACAAAUUCAUCUCUGGUUACGCACUCUUCACGAUUGGACCACAAUUAUUUUUCGUUUCACUCGUUCCUCGCAUAUGCGAGUUACGUUCCUCGCAUAUGCGAGUUAGAUCUCCGGGUGGCUGGCACGAUCGAAUUGAUCCAUUGGCAUAAUUCGUAUCAGUCCUGACAGAUCUUUGUAUGGACAACAUGAAUGGGGCUAAUAGGCACGUUGGUCCCUUCCAUUCCUCUGUUUGAUACGACAAAUAAUGGAAUGGAUGGUACGAUUUCGUACCAUUUUAUUCCAGAUCUUCUUAGAUCUAGUUUUGCAUCUCAUGACUUUCAUAAAUCUGGAACUCCUUGAAUUGCUGGAACUCGUAAAACUCAUACUCCCUCCGUCCAUGAAAGAACUUCCUAGGAUGGAGUAACCCGGGUUUUAAGAAAAAAUAUUGUUGAGUUUAUUGAGAGUGGAUAAAAGGUAGUUGAGUGUAUUGGGAGUGGUAAAAAGGUGUUAUGAUUAAUAUUGAGAGUUGUGAAAAGUGAAAUGUAAGAUGAUUAUAAGUGGUGGGGUAUAGUCCAAAAAUAGGUAGGAAAUUCUUUUGUGGACGUCCCAAAAAUGAAAGAUAGGAAGUUCUUUCGUGGACAGAGGGAGUAUUUCACUGCAUUCUAUGAGGAGAUAAUAUUGACGGCGACAACAAAGAAAGAGAGGGAGUAGCGAAAGAGACAAAUAUUUGGAGAGAGAUACUUAAGAGUGGAGGAGGCGCGGCGACAUAACUAGGAUUUUAAAGAAAGAGAAAGAGGAAGUUCUAAAGUAAUGAGGAGAGAGAGAGAGAGAGAGAGAGAGAGAGAGAGAGAGAGAGCCGUAACUGUUCAAUCGAAUCAAAACCCGGAUUCAAUUUGGAUCGCCUGUCUGGCAACACGCACGAAGAGAUAGAGAGAGACGCCUUUUGUCGCAGAAACUUUAGAUCGGGUCAACUUCCCAGUCCGAACCCGAAACCAUGCCGUCUCGUAGAAGAGCUCUCCUCAAGGUCAUCAUCCUCGGCGAUAGCGGGUCUGUUUUUUCACUAAACUCGAUUGUUUAUCUGUGAAUUGGUCGAUGUGAGAGAAUUCUCGCCGUUUCGGAUUUGAUUGGUUUAAUUUAUUCUUCCAUACGCGAAAUCGAUGAAAUUAGGAUGAUGGAUCGAUUCAAUUCGAACUGAUUCAGAUUCAUUCACAUGAGUUUGGAUCUCGAAUUCUGUUGAAAGGAAACGAAGUAGUGAAAUUUUUGAGAAUUGAAAUUUAUUGCAUGCUAUUCCUGUUAAAAUAAUACCAAGUCGGACUCUUUACUUAAGAUGCAAUCAAUAAGAGUGAGAUGAAAUAAUUUGCAAAUAAGCAAAACGCGGGGAAAUUAUCGAGCCUGUGAGACAAAUUUGUUUAGUAGUUUUCCGCUCUAAAAUCCUAGCCAAGCAUAGGUUAUAAUGACCUACCUAUAUAUGUCUAAGUGUGUUCUUCUGUACAAAUUGGGUUGAUAGCUAAUUGGUUAAUGUAUUUGUGUAUGUUUUUUUCAGGGUGGGCAAGACCUCAUUGAUGAACCAGUAUCCUCAAUCCUACUCAUUUGUUACAAUAAUUGCUGAUGUAAAAUGUAAUUUACUGCUUCUGUUAUGAAAAACUCGUUCGUGUUAUUAUUUGUAUGAUGUGCUCUUGACUUGUUGAUUAAAGAUAUGUAAACAAGAAGUUUAGCAACCAAUACAAGGCGACAAUUGGGGCAGAUUUCUUGACAAAGGAAGUGCAGUUUGAGGAUCGGCUUUUCACUUUACAGGUACGUACGGAAGCUGCUUGUUUUAUCUUUCUAACAAUUAUCGCAUGUGAUUCAAUUCGACUGAACAAGUAAACAUAAAUUUCAAGUUUCUUAUACAUGUUCAUAACAAAGAAAUAGUUUUGCUCCUCUCUAAUAUAGCUGGUUCUGACUCAAUCUGAUGAAGAUUUGCUCUAAAAUGGAUGGGCCUUUAGAUGCUAUAACAAUUCUGUUUAUUUACACAUCACAGUUGUGAUAAUAAGUAAAGAGAGUAUAUUUUUCUUUAUUUAAAAGUUCUGAGCUUUAAAUUUGGAUUGUGAAAAAUAUACACACCUUGAUAAAGCCAUUGGAGAAUCACAUCAUACAGCUCAGUUUAGACACUGGAUAUGUAAUCAUAUUACUGAUAUUUGUAAACUGUUUGUCUUCAUACUAUCUGUUAUCUUCCUCAUUAUAAUCCCUCUUAUGCCCUAUGGUUGGGUCUGUGUAUAAUUAGAUAUGGGAUACAGCUGGCCAAGAAAGAUUUCAAAGUCUUGGGGUUGCUUUCUACCGUGGUGCCGAUUGCUGUGUGCUUGUCUAUGAUGUCAAUGUCAUGAAAUCUUUUGACAAUCUUAAUAAUUGGAGGGAAGAGUUCUUGAUUCAGGUAUUUGCAGUUCUUAUUUCGUCUGAGAAUACCCUCCUCCAGUUCGCUCGUUUUUUUCCCUUCAAAUCAAUAUAAGCUCAAGAUCCACUGAUAAUUUUUUUUAAAAUUAUAUUUGAGCAUGAAUCUUAUCACGCAUCAACCCUCAUUUCUGCAAGCAUAUUGCCUUGUGAUGGGUUUAGAUUAACAAAUAAGUAUUUUUCUGCAUUAAGUAAAUUAGAAUGCGUAUAUAUGCAGAUAAAGGGGAAGGAUUGUAGGGUAAAUUUUUCAGGAUAGGUUUCACCUUUUUAAUGUGUUCUUCAUGUUGGGGGACACAGGUGAGAAGGUGGUCUAAGUUACUGCAACUUGAAAUUCUUCAUGACAUAUUGCCAAAUGUUACUUAAGAAUUCUUACAAUACGAGUAGUUAAGUUGUAUCAAAAGCCCUGAGUUUGAUAUUUCUGAUAAAGAAAAUAAUUUUUUUAUCCUAAUGCAAUUGCACAGCUUAUAUCUAUCCUAUAAUGGAAAAAAUGGAAACAUACUAAUGAAACAGAAGUUAUUCUGCAGGCUAGCCCAACAGAUCCUGAAAAUUUCCCAUUUGUGGUGAUCGGCAACAAGACUGACGUGGAUGGUGGAAAUAGCAGAGUGGUAAACACCUGCCCCUCCUCUUUCUAUAUAUAUAUAUAUAUUGAGGUUGAGAGGCACCGUGCCAAAGGCAUUAGGACAUAUUAUAUGUGGUGGAAUGUUGUGGACCUAUGAUGAUAUCUACUACGGAGUUGGUAGGACAACAUACAACCCAAUAUAAAUCUACAUUUACACCAAUUCUAUUAAUUUCUCUGUUUGUUCUUUUCUCUACCAUGGAAAAUCAAACUUCAACAGGCUGUCUUACCUAUAAGUAUGUUAAAAGUUCUGUUCCCACUAAGAGAAGGCAAAAUUUAAAACGGUCAUUGUGGAUAACAAAACAAAAUUAUUUGGCCGCUUCAGUUGAACAUAAGGGAGGGAAGCUCAAUUGCCCCAAUUUCCUUGUUGACGGCUACUACUGGUGAUCACCCCCCUCCCCACCUUUUCCCUCUGUCAGCACCACCCCCCUCUCCUAACCCUGCCCAUUGGGCAUCUCUUCCAGCUCCCUUUCCCAGUCAGUGCCUCCCCUCCCUUCCCCAGUCCGGUGGUGCCCCUUCUGCAGCUGCCCGUUUUUUUAAUUUUUGUGCACUUUAACCACCAAAUUUAAAAAGUAGGGGUAUUUGCACUUUAACCACCAAAGUAAAGUUCUUUUGUAAUCAAAAUGGCAUUUAUAAACAAUAGCUCGUUAGUUACAUUCAUUAAACUGAUACAAACUUAAGCAUCGCGGAUGCAGUGUCCAUUUGCGUAUCAUUCCCUAUUUACCCAGUGCUUGUAUCAUGAUAAAUACUUCCAGCCUUUCUGUUGGGGCAGACUGAGGUGAUGUGCUGCACUGUUUUCAAUAUGUAAGCUGUGAAACUUUGUUUGAGAUUGACAAACAUUGUUUUACCUGCUUUGCCACAGGUAUCUGAGAAAAAGGCUCGGGCUUGGUGUGCCUCAAAAGGAAAUAUUCCUUACUUUGAGACUUCUGCUAAGGAAGGCACCAAUGUUGAAGAAGCUUUUCAGGUUAUUGCAAAGAAUGCCUUGAAAACUGGAGAAGAGGAAGAAAUGUGAGUACAAAAUCCCAUAUUAUCUCAUCAAGUUGCAUUUAUAUGUCAGCACCAUCUUCGUUAUACUUCUUCAGUUUCUCACAAUGCUGUCAUAAUGUUUUAUAGUUUUAUUAUAUAGCUGUGCAUUGUAUUAUGCUAAAAGUAGAAUUGAUAGUUGAAAUUAGUAGAAGAAUAAAUUCUUGGAAAAAAAUGCUGCCAUAUAUUUGCACCGAUCUCAUAAUUCUUGAACGACAUAUAUUCUUCUUGCUAAUAUUCUUGAUGAUGGUGAAGAUACCUUCCGGACACAAUUGAUGUUGGUAGCAGCGCCCAACAACGGUCAACUGGAUGUGAAUGUUGAUUGAGUAAUAUGAUUCAGAAGUUCCCAGGAUGCACCAAGAACUCCAUCAUUCUUAUGUUUUUCGUGUUGCACUAAGAUCAUGCGUGUAUACUAGUGUUUGUACUGUGGAGCGAAUUCGUUUUGUUAUUUUCUGAGCUUGGUUGCUUGGGCUACCUUCAAUGUGUACUGUACCGCUCUGAUUUGGUGGAGCUGGAUAGAAUUUUUCAGUGAAUUGAUUGCAGUUUCUGUGUAAACUCUUUCAUCCUUGACAUUUUUUUCAAGUUCUAUCCUCUGCUCUCCAUGUCGACUACUUGAUUUUUUCUACAGGAAAACCGAAAGGGCGUCGAUGGUGACGGUUGAACCAUAAAAACCGAAUUGAUCUGAUGAAUACAACUGUAAUUCAAUAUCGGUUGACCAUGGAUAUUGAUUCCCUAAUUAUCUAUUUUUCUUUCUAUCACUUGUCAAAAUCACUGUAUUGUAUAUAUUUGUAUUUUGUGACCAUCUGCUAAAUUAAACAUCUAGUUGAAGUUGGUAUGCGAUGAAAAUUGUAGAAAAAGAAGAAUUUACCUUUUGGAAAAGGUCCAACGUAUUAGAGAGCACCCCAUCCCCAGUUGAGAUUCCUCUGCUAACAACCUCUUACUUUUGCAUUAAGUUGAUUAUAGAGCAAAAUAAUGCUACAUAAAUGAGGUGCAAUGUUUUAAAACUAGCUAGAUUGCAACUAUAAAAACGAACAUACCCGAAGGCUUUUCAUUGAAAUACAUAAUUGAUCUCAUACACGGCUUACAUUUAUUAGAAAAGCAACAACUUAUGCACUUCAUACAUUAGAAAUAGUGAUAGGUGACAUGAGACCACAGACGACAACAUUAUAAACUUCAUACUAAUUCACUUUUCACUUUUCUGCCUUGGCUCCAAUCGUGUAGAUCGAAUCCUUGGAAUUGACAUCAUCAGUGUAUGCCGAGACAUUAGGCCUAGGCUCAAAAUCUUUAGUGUAAGAUUUCUCAUCCUUUGAAUUGACAUCAUCAGUGUAUGCCGAGACAUUAGGCCUAGGCUCAAAAUCUUUCGUAUAAGAUUUCUCAUCUGUGAGCUUAACGUCAUCGGUGUAUGCUGAGACAUUAGGUCUUGGCUCAAAAUCUUUCGUAUAAGAUUUCUCAUCUGUGACCUUAACGUCAUCGGUGUAUGCUGAGACAUUAGGUCUUGGCUCAAAAUCUUUCGUAUAUGAUUUCUCAUCUGUACGCUUAACAUCAUUAGUGUACGCUGAGACAUUAGGUCUUGGCUCAAAAUCUUUUGAAUAAGAUUUCUCAUGUGUGAGCUUAACGUUAACACUCGGUCUAUCCUCAAACUCUCUCACAAAAGCUUUAUGCUCUUUAAACUUGAGAUCAUCACUAUGAGCCAUGGUGCUAGCCCUUUGCUUAAUGUCUUUUGCAAAAGACUCCUCAUAUUUAGGUUUGACAUCGAAGAUUGAU
rnacentral:lncRNA from 1 species